rnacentral:lncRNA from 1 species
ACGUUUGCAAAAACGCGGAAAUGGGGGAAAAACAAAUGCGAAAAAGACAGGUUAGCAAUCGUUUUAAAUACAGCACCACCCAACGGCACGCCAACUCCACAAGCCUCCCUCCCCUCUUCGAUUCCCAUUUUCAUGGGCAUCGACGUUUGGGACGCUUUCUAGCAUCCCUUGCGCUGCACUCCUCCUCGUCUUCUUCCUCUUCCUCUCCGAUCUCGUUCUCUUUCCGAAGAUCCCAGGAAGAGCGGAGGAGAAAAAAGGGGAAACAAAGUUUUGUUUUGUGUUUUGUGUUUUGUGUAUCUGGAGGCGAUUGAGAUGGCCAAGUAUGUGGAGCUGCUGGACGCAGGAGUGAGGAUCGCCGCAAGGUUCCAUUCCCACUGCCCCCAGACCGCCCGGAUGUACUACCACCCUCCCUCCAACUCCGACGACCCCCACCACGGCGGCGACGGCGGCAGCGGCGGCGGCGGCGCGAAGGGCGCUUCAGCCCAGAUGCGCCCCUGCGGUCACAAGGCGUUCGGCGGGGUGGACACGGCGGAGUUCAUUCUUUAUUCCGUUUGAUUCGAUUCCCAUCUCACCCGCUCCAUGUACCAAGAAAAAAAAGGGUUAAAAAAGAAAGAAAGAAGUCAUGUGUUAUUGAUGGAUUACAUUUACUCCUGACCUUCUUUUUUUUUCUUUCUUUUUGUUGAUGUGUUUUAACUUUUGUUGCCAACCCAAUCGGUUGUCUGAACUCGUUUGUUGCGGUUUCGUUACGUGGUUGUUCAAGGUCAUUUCGAGUAAUUCCAGCGAAUUUAGGAGUGGUUGAACGGUAGAUUCGGCGCAAACCCUUCAGAGCUCGCCUGUCCUUUCGCUAGAAAUCUACCUUCUUUGAGCACAUUAAGUAUGGGGUCACCAUCCUUGCACUGCGAAUAGAUGGAAACUUCCGAGACUUCACCUGUACCACUAGCGAAAAGAUCUUCUCGUCUAUGAUUACAGGAGUUGGCAAUUUUUGUGGUUGAAAGUGUCCGUGGCCAAGAAUCGGACCUUCCUAAUCGACAAGUCGAUAGAUAUGAAGCAAAUGCGCAGCGUCUAGACGGAAGUGUCCUUGUCAAACAAUUAGGGACAAAGUCCUUAAGUUCAUCCCUAUCAUUUUUGAGCAUCUUUCUGAUAUGAAUACAUUGCAUUUGGGAUGGUGGUUAGUGGUGGAGACAGCUCGGAAGAGAGGGUCUCGUUCAUCUCCACAAAUCCCAGAUUUUUUCGCUAUCUUGUGUGUGAGAUAAUUGAUGUGUGAAUAGAGCGAGGAUGAGACUAGCCGGCCGAAUAAAAAUCACGGGUCCUAUCAAAUUUGAAAGGAACACGUCGAGUCCUUUGAUGCGGGAAAAGCUUAUGUGGAGAAGAUGAAGCAGAAAAAGGCCUGGAAAAUGUCCUCGUGGACUGAUUCGGAUUCAGGCUUUUGGAAGCAAUACGCAGGCGAAUGACUGGCGGAACUUGGAAAUUGAAAUGGUCCAGAAGAAAUUGUCCAGGCGCACCAACCAUCAACGGCUGUGGGUUCUCGUGAGCAUAAUAAUAUUCCUAAAUUCUGAUGAGAUCACAGUUGGCAGUCGGGUCAUUUAAGAAGUUGCAAGUGGGUUUAUACCCUUAUUCUUUUUCUAGAAAAUUAUGUUUCUCUUUUUCAAAUUAGACAGCAGAAUAUUUGAGAUGCGGAAAUUACCGGGACAGGACAACUACGGUACAGGCCCAGCGGACACGACAAGAUAUUGUGUUGAACCAGGAUCACCAAGUAUGUGGGUCCAACUAGGAUUUGCGAUGUGGUCCUCCGAAUCUUUCCUUCCAGCUUCGAUCUUUUUUUUUUUUUUUCCUGAUCUUCAUAACCGGUGGAAAUUUCGAAAGUAAAUACUCCGGCCAGCAGCAGCUCUUGGCCCAAUAUGGGCGAGGACUGGCGACCCUCAUCCCUCCAUAGCCGGCCCUUUCCGGCAACGGUGGUGAUACCGGGGUGAUGGCGGCAAGUCCUCGUUGGUUUGCUACAUUUGUGUGUGUGUGUUUUUUUCAAUAUUUUAUUUAAAUUUUAGUUUAUUUUUAAAUUUAAUCUAAUAAACAUUUGUAUUAAAAUUUAAAUUUAGAUAAAAAUGACGUUAUUUUAGGAUUAUCUUUCUUGUUUUAGCCAUGUCAACAUUAGGUAGGAGAGAGAAAGUAAAAAAAGAAAAAUAUAAAUAUUAUUCGUUAGCUAAAUUGAAUGGAAAAAAAUGAUUGCACUAAUUUGAUAAGGUUUAGACUUAACUACACUUUCCAAAAGUUUUAGAAUUCAAUUGCACUUUCAUGAUAAGUUUUAGGAUUUUUAGUGAACAUAUCACUUAUCUUUUAAUUUUACAAACUCUUGUAUGAACUUAAUUACCUUAAUUUGAGUAAUUUAUUAAUUUUUCUCCGUCUAAGUUAUCAGGUAGUUCUGGAUCGUUAAUGUUCUGCGGGUACAUAUCGCACAAAUGAGUUCAAAAUGAUAGUUGCUGAGUUACGUCUCGAUCAGCUCUUUUUUUUUUUUUUGAUUCCUCUCGAUCUGCUCUUUAAAGUGUCAUUUUCUGUCUUGUUGGGAUAGGAACCCACGAGCCUCAACUAAACAAAUCAUAGUCUCACGUUCAAUUAUCCUUCCUGUUUUUAUUAUUUGCACAGCCCCAUGUCGAAACCAAAAUGCUUGUAACUGAGACCCAAUGUGUUUUUCCCCCGGAAAAACUACCCUGGUAAAGAGAGUCCUUUUUGCAGGAUGAGCGCUUCAAAAACUGAACUACUAUGAGCAUGAAGUGACACAGAACAUGAUUGAGAACAUUAUUGUAACAGCUCGAAGAGAAUGUACCUGAAUCUCUAGAGGAUAGCCAUGAAUUCCCAUGCGAUGAGCAAUUAUGCAAGAACCUUCAAUAAAAUGUUGGGAACAUAUCAAAACCAUCAGCUAGGCAUAACUUCAAGAUCAUUUCGAUUCCAGUUUGGACAUCGACUCUCUCUUGAACUGAAAGAUCUCUAAAACACUUUCGAUAUGCCCAUAACAAUACAAUCCACUAGAGCCCUGAAUCAACUGGUUCCAUACGGACAAUGGCUGCUUCACCAAAGUCUGGAUUCAAUAUCUCUUCAGUUGCAGAAUCAUUGCCAUCAAGUGGAACAAUACGAAUCUUAAAGUUGUCAGGCAUCAAACCUUGGCCAGGGCUAUCGCUAUCCAUGGUUUCCUCCCAACUCUGUUCAUGAAAUGACAAUGCAAGGUGCAGCGUUUUAGUUCCAAGUACCAGGGGAAUAAUGAACAGGAAAGCCUGCAACCUUUCUAACGGCCAAGGGAUCUUAUCAAUCUAAUUGAAUCAUUCCACUCCAUCAGUAGAAAUCAUCGUUACGUUCAGAAUCACAUGUAAAUUAGGUAAAAAGAUUAAGACAGACUGUCUGAUGAGCAAAACUUGCUGUCGACAUUAAAUGCAAGAGUUGCCACCACUUUGAUUAUUAACAAAAAAGAAAUUAGUACCUGCAGCAACUGAAGAGUGUGAAAGAUGAAAUUCCUCACAAAAUCGAACUAUCCCUUCAAAAGUAAAGCUGUCCAGAAGGGACAAAAUCACGAACGAAAACUUGAUUAUAGUUGAGGAUGCUUGGGCAGCUUGGUCGUUUGCAGCAGUAGUACCGAAGGGAUUGAUGCAGUAAAAUGCAAUGGAAUCCCUCAUAAAAUCCCAAGCUUCAUCUUCAAUUGAUUUUGAGCUGAUCUUUGUACCUUCUCUCUAGUUGCUUCUGACUGCAUAUGCACUCCAUAUGGCGCUAAAUCUUCAUUUCAAUUUUUCAACUUUUGUAUCGUCUCAAACUCUUCAAUAAUUGAUUGCCACGUGAAGUUAUUAUGUCAAUUGAAUUAUUAUCAUAUAUCAUCUAACUUAGUAAUAUCAUAAUAGAAUUUGAUAGAAGCUAAUGGACGAUAGAAAUGCCAUAUUUGUACCGGUUUAAGAUUUUUAGUACCCAAAAAAUUAAUUUUCAGUAAAUUUAUCACAAAUAUAUAUCAAUUUGAGAUUUUUUGAGAUAUUAAUACAUAAAAAAUAAUUAGUAAGGAUUUUCAGCUUUUUACUGAUGUCGAUUUUAUUAUUUUGUGUAUCAUCAGGCUUGACCAGAGUUGGCCGAACUUAAUUACUGCAGUGACAAAACUUCAGGAUCGCAUUCAUCCAACGAAGGUAUGGUGGUGUUUGAACAGUUCGCUAAAACAAAAGAAUCACUAUCAUAUAUUUCACUAAUUCACUUCCAAUCUUGCCCCUAAGAUUCGCAAGAUUCAUCUACCGGUACUGAGAAAAGUGGGCUGUAUUUGAAGAGAAUGGACAUGUGUGAAUUAUGUUGCUGCGCUGACAAAUUAUCACCAAAACGCUACCUCAAAUCAAAAGGUCCAAUUUCUAUGAUAUAAAGAUGACAAUGAGUAUCUCAUCGAUAAUGGCCUCCAUUUAUUUUUAUUUCCACUAUAAUUAGCAUAAAGAUGCCUGUCCGUGUAAUAUCAAACUAUUACAUCAACUGUAGCAGCUUUACAGAGAUAUGCCUCCCCUCGCAACAUCUGCAUUCCCAACAAUUCGUGCAUGUGGAGACCUACAGCUUAGCCAGUUCCUGAAGUUGUUCCUGCACAGAAUAGACCAAUGAAUACGGCAAGGAUCCUAGCUGUUAGAAACUAACGCUGGACAAAUAGGAACAAAUAGCAACAAGUUCUCUUAGUAUCCUGCAUGAAAAUCUAAUUCAUAAUCUAAGAAAUUGAGAGAUGCUGCCAGAUGCCAGUCGUGGAAAGUUCUUUCACAAUAGAUCCAAGCACAAGUGCAAACAAUUGAGGUUGAUCGCACUAUCAGUGGAUGGAAAAAUGUCACUCGACUGGAACUUACCAAACAACACACUGACCAUUUCAAAUGCUAGGAUGAAGACAACCCUAUAACUUAAUUCUUACUGCAAUCCAUAGAAAUGUUACUUGUGGAGCCAAAAGUGGAAGUGAUCAUAAGUGGGGGUAUGCACUAUGAGAAAGAUAGCCAGUUAGAGAGCGGUGACAUUCGGAAGCAAAAACUAUACGAAGAAAUUGGAAAAACUCACUAACCUCAGUCACGAAGAAGGCAUGGAAGCCAUAAGGAACCCUAUGGGGUAAUUCAACAACAGCAACAGGAUCAGAUGACAUGUUUUUCGCAUCGAUUACAUUUACUGCCGACUUCCUGCAAAUUUAUUAAACAAACAUCAGUCCAUGUUCUCAUCAUCCUCCUUAAACUAUAGCGGUCAUUGUUUUCUUGCAGUGCAGCACCAGUGAGAUUUGCAAAAACAGUGGGAAGUCUAACAAAUAACAGGUUCGAUGGCGAGAAAAGGAUGAGCAAAAUACCCUGUGCUUUCAUCAUGGACAAAGAAUAUCAGGUACCCAUCAUCUUCUUCAGAAGUGAUGCCAGACUCUCGAGGGACAAAAACAGCUUCAGAACCAAAUCUACCUGGUCCUAGGUCAAACACACCUGCAACAUUUCCUCCGACCUCAAUCUUCUUUUUUCCUUCCUCUGGCUCAGCAUGCAGAUCAAACUUCACAAUUCCAGUAACCUUUGCAAUGCUAUCCAGAAUGGUUCCAUACACAUAUCUUUGUUUCCUGGACACUCAAAAGAUUUUGAAGUAAGAAAUACAGAAAUGGAAAAACACUGACUGACAAAAAUAAUGAUAAGAUUUUCUACAAUGAUUUAUAGCAGAUAUAGGAUUUCUCGACCUCAGUUUGCACUGAUGGCCCUUCAGCUUUUUCUCGCUCAUCGCAAACAUUCGUGUCACUUUGUAAAUCAAAAUCGAAUUAUCCUUAAACAACCAUUCAUGGACCUGAAUUAUAGCUAUACCUGCCAGUGUAGCACUCAUUUAUCCUGGGAAAUCCGACUGAAGGUGCUGACAGCUUCUUUUGUGAAGCCAGGCCAGUUUUCAUGUUGAAUCUCAUUUCAUACCUGAUUGACAAAAAAGAAAAAACACAACGUUGAUUUUAAAAAAGUCAGAGAAUUUAAAAAGAGCAUUUGGCUGGAUAUAAUCAGAUCACAACGUUUCUUACAGUUCAUCUCCAAUAUUCUCGAGGUUUUCCCUGACAAUCCCACUGAUCAUGUCCAGAUCAAGAUUCUCAAGGCGGCAUGGUAACAAAACAACUUCAUCUUCCUCCUCCCAUGCAUUGGCUGGAAGUAAGCAGCCAAUUUAGUCAAUAAGGAGAAGGGAAAACCAGAGUUAUGGUAUAAAUAAACUACCGGAUUUACUGAUAGCAGCAAAACACCAUAUAAUAUACAACAUUGCUCAUGCCAGUGGCAAAAUAACAACAUUAAAAGGAAAAACUUGGCUAGAAUAUAAGUUUCAAUGACCUAACUAAUUAGUCCCCACCACCAUUGCGCUACUACAAUGUGCAAGUUAAUGCCAGAACUUUCAAAACUCAAACGAAUUAAGGAAAAAGUAGAAGGUAAACACACAAUGCCUUUACAUAUCUGAAUGUCAAAUUAACUGACUUAACAGCCCGUAAACAUUCCAUCCAAGCUUUUCCUCAUCCAGUACAAGAAUCAACCCAACAUCUAUGACUCCUAACAAACAAGAAUGGCCUACACAGUUUAUCUCGAUACAAAAGACAAGGAUGGUCAAUAAGAUGCACCAUUGUGAAAAAUGAAGCAGUUUGGAAGCUCAAACCAUCUGAUUUGAAGAUCAUUCUUUGCAUAUCGUGGAAGUACCCCAAAGCGAGAUUUUUUGGUUUUAUCAAAUGUAUAUAUUAUCUUGUUAUCUUUAACCAUUUCCUGUCAACAAAAUCAGAAAACAUACAGUCAUAGUCAUUUUCUAUGGUAAACAAUAUAUGGCAUGUAUCAUACAAAUAGUACAGCAAUUUAAGGCAGGGCAUUAGGAAACAUCACAUAAAAUUUAAGGGGAAAAAGAUGACCUAACUCUUGUGAUCAGAAAUACUCUCCCCUGAUAUUUGAAAAGAAUCCAGAGAGUUUAGAUCAAUAGAUCUCUUCAAUUUUUGCCCUUAUUUUAAGAACCAAGUUUUUUCUAAGUUUCAUCUGAGACCCAUUAUCUGCUGUAAGUGGCUUUUGUCUGAGAAGUGAUUUUCAUAAAGCUUUCGUACUUAUAUGUUACCAUACCUUGGGCCUGACAUAAAGAGGAAGAUCCAUGAAAAUUGCAUAAUUCUCUGUAAUGGCAAAGUCGUGCAUCAUGAUGGGAUCUGAAAUGGUAAUUGGUACUGGAUCAUGCAUGAAUCCAUCUUUUGAAAUAACCCUGUAGGUGAUAUAUGGCGGUGUAUGCGAAUAGCCAAAGGUGAACAUCUCUCCUGCACCAAUAAUCAAAAGUUACAGCUCUUGCCCUGAAUAGAACAAACUGAUUGGACUGUUAGGAACUCGGAAUUACCUGUGAAAGGAUCAACCUUCGGAUGGGCUGUAAAAGAAUGAGAAAGUCUCUUAUCAUAAUCAAGCAUUCCAAGAGUUUGCAAGUCACCAUCUUCCAAAACCUUGAGGACAUCUGCACAGAAUCACAAACUUUAGCUCCUCACUGUAAACUAACAAAUGUCACCAAUGGAAGGAGGAAGGGUACAGAGAAUUAGAGUUUUACAAGGUUUAUCAGCCUCUGAAAGCGCCAAGAGUUUUCCAUGGUGAUAUACGAGAGCAGUAUUGCCUGGAAUCGGGCAAAAAGCAGUUAAUUUUCAUAUAUUUAAGAGAAAGCUGCAUGGAUGUCCCGAACUAGGCAUAAUUGUAUGGAUAUGGUUCCAAGUGAGGCUCUAUAUGUGUUUUUUGAUCAGGAAAGAGUAUAAUGCAUUGUAGCGUACAGAGAUGUUUGUUCUUUGACCACCAAAGGUAGAAUUGGCAAUAACCAUGGACAUAUGAUGAAGGCACAUGGACAUUUCUUCAGUGAUUAGGACACUCAACUAUUUUAUUUUUCUUUUUGGCUAGUUUUCAAAGAAUCAGCAUCGAAUCAAACUGCAUUAGCAGUCAUCCAGAAGAAUCAACUAACAUAUGCAUCGAAGCCCACCACAUAUUGCACCUUUUUCACUUGCGAACAUUUAAUGCUUAUCAUAUCAUGCUCGAAACCACUAACGAAAUGCUCUUGAGAGGUCCUCCUCAAGUUACUAGAAGAUUUUCAGAGCAAUGCAUAGGUCUCAAGAGUUUAAAACCCUACCUGUCCCUGUUCCAUAUGAAACAUCUAGUAUUUUCAGUUUUGCUCUCAGCAUUUGCAUUUUGAUCAUGAGUAAACCAAAAAGCCCUUUAAGGUCUCCAAUCUGCAAAUUGGGAAUUAGAUGAACAAUGGAUAACGCUUGGGAAACAAAAGUCGGCAGAAAUAAUCCUAGCACAUCUUUUGCCUAGUGAGAAUAAAAAUUGAUGCCCACACCGGACUCCUGUAUACAUAGCUUUUGUCACUUCAUAAGGAAACUGACGUUCUGUUCAUUUCAAAAUUCUCAUCCUAAAUUUGAGGCCACCCAGAACAACUGAAGACAGUUUGUUGAUUAACAUUAUAAUCUUCCAUCUGCAUCGGAAUGGACAUGUUCUGACACAUGGUUUUCAUUUUGGCCAUAAAGUGUUGAUGCAUAUCAACAUUCAGAGAGAGAGCAUGCCACAUACUUUGAAGUUUCAACACCCAAUCCAACUGAGAUACUGACUGUUAUCAUCCAACAUCCCAAACCCGUGUCUCUGCUCCUCAUUAACAUACCUUCUUAAAUUGAGCUCCCCCAUAGUACUCCUCUUGCUUAAGUCUCGACGUUCUCACAUAGCGAGAGACGUAAGUAGCUUUGCCAUUUUUUAUCCGCAUCCCAUGAACCAUGCUGCAUGGUAGAGAAAAGGGAGGACAACGAAAUGAAGAACCAGGUAACUGAUUCGGUGACCAUUCACAUAAGCUAAAACUGAAUUUAAACAGACACGUGCUCAAUUUGAGGAAACACGCAAUCAGAUAAAUCCACAACACUCCCUAGUCUAACUCCGAACAAGUCCAAAUGAAAACACACACCGAACAAAAAGAGCGCGAACGAUCGCAAAUUAGAGCUAAAAGGCGACCGUCAAUUCUCUACUUUAGUGAAACUUGGUAUGAACUAGAUGUGCUUCGGCUAAUGCAGUAUAGCGCAGGCUCAUGAAUACGCACCCAUCUCCAUCAAACCUGCACGGACAGAAAAGCAAACAGAACCCGGUUAACAAAAACAGUGUAUCUAACCCCUUGUUAAAAAUACAAUAAAAAGAGAAACCGAACCCAGAAAGUUUCCAAAAGAAGGAAACUUGGAAAAGAGAGAAGAGCACCAGUGGUAUCCGGCGACCGGGGCAAACUUGGGAUUGGGGCCCACCAGAACGAAUUCUCCAUUCAAGCAAUCCUUAAAAAAAGCAAAAUUUACCCUCCAGUGAAUCGACGAUAGACAGAGCUUACCCACUUUGCCAAGAAAACAAGAGAAGGGAAGGCGGAGAGCGAAUGGGAGGGAGAUUACAGGGAGAUGGCCGACGACAGGGAGGUCGGUGACGGGAGGGGUCUCGUCGGCGACGGGAGCGAAGUUGCCGGCGAGGUACUGGUGAGGCUGAGAGGAGUCGUACAUGAAGUUGACGAUCAGCUUCUCAAUGUAGUCCACAACCAUGGACGUCACCCCCUUCUUCGGCAUGGGAUUCACCUCCACUAUCCCUCCGCCGCUCCCCUUCUUCAUCAUCAUCUCGUCGUACUUCCCCUUCUCUUCUCUCUCUCUCUCUGAGUUUCUGGCAGACCGAUGAGCGUGCGGCACUUUGACAGGUGCAAGUACUGUUACCGGUCCAUCACUUGCGUCAUUCGACGCGGUUGGCCGGUCUUUUAUCAGUAUCCGAGGCCGGCACGCGCUCCCUCUUCUUGGAUUUUUCCCCCCCAGGGGAUUCUCCCAACCGGCUGCCUUCAUUUCCAGGAUGCGCCCCCACCCAAUGGUGGGGAAGUAGAGCCUGAAUCAGGCCCGGGGAAGGGUGAGAAACCUUCUUGGGACCCAGUUUAUCACUGCACCAUUUUACGUCUGGGGUGACGAAGGUAAAGAACUUGUCGUGGGAAAAAUGCGGGAACAAAAAUCUUUCUUUUUUUAAAAUCAAGUAGGCCGGCCGCGUGGCUUGUCUCGCUAAUUUCUUAUUUUAAGACCAAAAAUGACCAAUGAUGGGCAUGUGGAAACUUGGUCAUUCGUUUGAAAAUGAAUAAAAUGAAGAGGAAGGUGGAAGGAGUAUCUUUCUCGAGGCGGAUUCAAGAGUUUGACGGCCCCCGCCCCCGGGAAGAUCAGGCAUUAGCGAAAAACGAUGUCACAUGUCAUAUCAUGACCACCGCUUCCAAGGAUCGAUCCAUGCGUGCCUCUGUCUUCAGCCCGUUUGCAGCCAUCAUUUUAGAUGAGAUAUGUCAACUUUGAAAAUACGAUCUGCGUUCGAUAUAGAGAGAGAGAGAGCUAGAAAAAUCAUCCAUGGCAGUUUCAAAUGAGUUGGAAAUGGAGGAUGGCGCAAAGCCGCAUGAAGUCUUCUCACUAUUUAGUGGACAUUUCAAAUCGCACAUUUUUCUCUAGAAAUCACGAAUGCUCCCGUGUAAGUGCUGGAAUUGCAGCAUCAUCGACUUAUCGUUUUGGAAUUAUAAAGAGUAUAAUAUGAUAAUUGAUGGGCAAAGUUCAUCGUAUCCUUUUUCUUUUUUAUUUGUUUUAUAAACCAAAAAAGAUUCCAGUCAACAGAUGCUAGUGAAGAUGCUAACGAGGACUAAGGAAGAUGGGAUUUGUCUCGUGUGGAGAACAAGAGACAAAGUAACCCAAUUGCUCCAAAAGGAAAGAGAGAAGAAGAACCAUUUCCCGUUUUUUCUCUUUUAUUUGUAGGUAUCCCAAAAAGAUGUAUCAUUUUUCCUUAUUUGCUUUCCUUCUCUCUAAGGAGAAAUAAUUUAAGAACAUAUGCAACUUAGUAAGAUGAUUCACACGUCAGUUAUUAAUAUCAUUUACAAAGAAAUUCAUAUAUAUAUAUAUAUAUAUAUAUAUAUAUAUUUUGAGAAAAAUGUAUCUCAAUCUUAAGAGUCCAUAUCACAUCUGCAAUAGAUGGAUUCUGACAAUCUGAUUAGAAUUUGGAGAGUAGAUAGGAGGAGCAAUUAUCACCCCACGCUCGGGGACAAUGACAUAUAUCCAUACGCGCCAUUGGCUAAACGAAAGGCCAUAACAGCCUAUGGAAGUGUUCAAAAUGGACCAUGCUCAAACUCCCCUUACUUGAUUGAGCCCACUCCAGCCCAACGGGCCUAAGUAAUUAGCCAUGUCCAUCAAGCUGAUUCCGACGGUUUUGCUAGGAAAGCUGUUGGCAAUUGCAAUUUGAGACAUACAUGUGCAUUCGACUCUUCUUACUCCUAGUCCUAUCAAAAAUCAAGAAGCUAUGCUUGCAACAUAUACGCCUGGGUCCUCUUAACAAAAAGGAUAUAUGCACGCAAGUUUUCUGUACAUUUGGAUGGCUCACAAGAAAAUGAUUUACUCCAUAUUAUACAUCAUAAUUAUUUUAAUGGAAAUGAUUGGCAAAAUUUUGUAUCCAAUAAAAAAAAAUUACUUGGAACUCAGUAUAUAUCUUCUCCUAUUGUUCAUGUUAUGCACGUGGAGUCCAAGAUAAGAUAUAAUUAACUAUAUCCAAUGCAUUCUCUUGUCUUCUCAUUCAUAAUAUAGAUUUUAUUCAUGUAUGAUGCACAUGUUAGAUAAUAAUAAAUGAGUAUAACCCCUUCAAAAUCCCCUUUGAUAUUAUCUAGAAACUCCCCCAAAUCUUAUGCUGAGUAUUAACCUUGUCAACCGAUAGAAGCUUUUAACACAAACCCCAUGUUGGACAUAAACCCAAUUUAGAUGAGGAGUCCUCAUCUCCAAAAGAAUUAUUCAAAACAAGUUUUGCUUCCUCUGCAGUUGAAACCUAGGCAAUUGCAGAAAUACAGAUAAGCCUGCUGUAAAGAUGGCAUAGUUAUAUUGUAAUGUAAUUAAUAACAGACUUAACGUAUUAUCAAAAAUAAGAAAGUCCAUAGCUUUUAAUUCUCCACCAUCAGAGUGAGAGAGGGAUGGCUUCGCGCAAAAACCAUGCUCUCAUGGUGCUAAAGGGUAUGCUAGAUUGUGGUUCGGGAUUCGGACGAAACUGCCGUUUCAUCAGGAGCUAAAGUCAAUACUGGCGCAUCGUGCGUAUAAUGUACACUGCAGAUGCAGGAAAUCCGUAAUCUGUUUAAUUGCCGAAUAGCAAGAAUCAAUAGGUACAACAGUUCAUACCAUUGCACAAACUAAGAAGAGAUACAAUGGACAUGGUGAUUGAUGUUUCGCACAAUAGGAUGUUCCUGUAAAAGAUCCAAUAGCAGCAGACACCAAGUCUGAUAGAAACACAACUCCCACGAGCAACUGAAAAGCGAACUUUACAAGCCACACUCUCACGCUCAAAUUCAAAAGAGGUGAUCGGGCCAUUCCAACUCCGGACGACACCAUUUCUUCGUCAUAAGUUCAAUUAGCACGAUCCCCGCGUCAUUACCGAACUCUCACAUUGAGGCUUCCGAACCAAGAAGAAGUAAGUCGGCGUAAAGAUCCCCAUCCUGAAGUGCAUAUUAGCAUUAGACUCAUCGGUAGCGCUUAUUUCCCACCGAGAGGUUGGACGGGGAUUAAAUAAAAUUUCGAGGCAAAUUCAGAAAGAGCAGUUUCUUUAAACCUCUGCAAUUUGGCAAGAAUUCUCUGUAUGAACUAUAAUCUACCCAUCCAGGGAAUGCAGGUGUUACUUUCACCAAAAGGCACUGGUGUUUUAAAGGUUAUGAUCCUUAAUGUCAAUCCUAAACCAGCAAUGCAUUUCCAUAAAACACAUCUGCAAGCUCUACUAAGUGCAGACCCUAAUGCCCCAUGUAAUUAUAGAUUUCUUGGUUGAGAGAACACUGCACGAGAAAGAGACGUUCUAAAGUAGCUUUGAAAGUAAAAUGAGGGGACCAAGAUUGAAAAACUGAUCGCUCACCUUCCGCCUUUGACUAAGCCCUCCGCAGCCCUCUCCAGAACUUUUAGCACCCUUAGGCUUCCUUCUGGGGCUAGCCCCACGCACUCGAGAGCUUCGACCUAUAGUAACAUCGCAUGCAAGAAUCACUAUAUCAGAUUGAAUGCUUAUGCUUACCACCCUACAAUCAUACUAAGUUUAGGAGGACGCUGCACUAACAAGCUUACCAUGAUUCUGGUAAUGAAACGCCCAAGUGGUGUCACGCGGAAGUUACUCAAGGAGAAAUGGUUUCCGUCCAGAACCUGGUACCAUGGGACCGGAGACUCUUCGGCUAGAUCUUUCUCCCAUAUGACCUUCACAAUAGCAAACGUCAAGUCAUAGGGUCAGAGUUGAGACUUUUUAGCUGUCGUAUUCCACUUUUAUGCAAGUAACUUUGUAAAAACUGCUCACCUCAAAACCUGCUUGUUUUAGAGCUUCAAUGCAUUGCCCAGUCAGCCGGAUGUCUGGGAGGCCAUUUCCUAUCUCAAUCUCUGCCUGCAACAAUUCAGCGCAGUCCCAUUUGCAUCAUAAGCCGAAGUCAUUAAAUUGCCCACGCUCAAUAAUAUGGAUGGAUCUCAGUACACCAACCUUAAUAUCUUGGUGCUCUUUGUUGUGCGGAUCAAAUGAAUCAGUCAUGCACCAUUCGUAAGCAGCAAAAUACUGCCCAGGCUUUAAUACUCUGCAAAUCUCUUUGUAACAUCCAUACUGUUCAGAUCAGAGGGAAAGGAAAAGCGAGACUGUUCGUUAAGUUAUGAAUGAUCUAAGCAGGUCGACAAUCAUCAGGUGCAUAAGCAAGUACAUAUCUAAUUGUAACAUACAAUGUCGGGUGCAUGGCAGGUAGCUUCAAUUGCAUAAACCGCAUCAAAAGUAUUGUCAGAGAAUGGCAUAUGCAUGAAAUCAGCCUGCAGGCAUCAGCAAGAAACGAUGACUUGUGAGAAGUUUUUCCCCCCAGACCAUACUUUUUCUUCAUGUGUGUAGACACAAAAAGUGGAUAAAGGACACAACAUGAUGAUAGCAGCUUAAGAAACCGAAGUGGCUGAUGAAAGAGUUCCGACAAAAUUUGGAUAUCAGACUAAACCAACCUUAACAAAUUUGCAUGUCUUGUCCACGCCUGCAGCGCGAUUCAGUUCCUAUGGAGCAAGCAAACCUGUCAACUUGCGGGCUAUAAUAAAUUCAAUGCUUUUCAAAUGGAAGGCAGAGUUGAAGUCACCUCUCCCCUUGUUAUCUGGUACUCGUUGUUGUUUAAUCCAGUAAUAGAUGCGAAGCUGCAGAGUAGAAAAGGAAGACUAUCGGUCAACAAGAACCUUAAUUAAAAACUAAGCCAAUUAUCAGAUGUCUGCACACAAAUCUUAGCUCGGCAGUAUGUUUAUGGACAGAUCAGAUGAAAGAUAUUCACGAGGACCAGGCCACCCCAGUAAGUAUUGAGCUUCUAGCACCUUCUCCCACUUCUCUAAGUUGUGCGCAGCCAAAUGAAUUCAACUACUGUGUCGACAAAUACUCAUGCAUGUAGGGGUGAGCAGCGGUCUAGGGUCGACCCUGGACCGACCCAACCCUGCUGGUCCUGGUCCGGUUCCUAAGGGGACUGGGUCGGUCCUUGGUCCUGAAAUUCCAGGACCAACACUGUGCGAGUUGGUCCUCGGUCCUAAGAGUUUUGGGUCGGUCCAACCCUGGACCAACCCUGUAUAUUAUAUUAUAUUAUAUUAUAUUAUUUAUAAUUAUUUUAUAUAUUCAAACCUAAGUAAAAUGUAUGUUAUAUUAUAUUAUAUUGAGAUGUUCUAUCAAUAGCACUAAUAGUAAUUUCAAUUUAAAACUUUUGUUGAGUAUUAAUUAAGUGUCGUUUAUUUUGUUUUAAGGUGUUUAGAAGUUCAAGUGAAUUAACAAGAUGUGAAGUUAUAUAUUCAUGGUUUAUAUUAAGUAUUUUGAACUUUUUAUGGUUUAAUUGUAUUUUACUAAUGAAUUUCAGCUGCACUUUGCUUUUCAAUUUGUGUCAAAUGAUAUAAGUUUUUGAAGAGUAGAGUAGUACUACAGUUGCUACGGUAAUUUGCUAGUCAAGUGGUGUGAAGCUCAUUUUUUGGUUGAAUGGACUCUACAUGAUCAAAUGCAGGAAAACGCUUUUGCAUAUGGUGUUAUGAAUAUUAAAGAUAGAUGAUUACAAGAACAUUCCAUAUUGUCCCAUAUUUCGAUGAGCGGUUAGCAUGUACGAAAUUUCUAUUAUUGUGUCAUCUUAAAUUUGCUAAAUAUGUAUUGGUAUUUAUAGUUUAGUUGCACAAUGUUGCAUUGUCGAUGGAUGUGUAAUUUGAAUUUGUAGGUUUGCUUUUUUAGGGAGUAUAAAAAAUAAGACGAAAAAAAUUAUCGAUCGGUCCCGGGUUGACCCUGGAACCGGACCGAACCCAUUGGGUCGGUCCGGUCCUUGGUCCCAAGCUCAAUAGGGUCGGUCCUCGGUCCUAAAAAUUGAGGACCGACACUGUACAGGUUGGUCCUAGGGUUAGGGGGUGGCCCGGACCAACCCGGACCAUGCUCAUCCCUACAUGCAUGCACAGUUGCACGUCCUAUGCACUGCUAAUUCUUUUUUUCGCUCUUUUCCGAGAAAGAGAAGGCAAAGAAGUCAUGGCAAUUGGUAACACUCUGAUUCUUAUAGCUUGGUGCCUUUGUUCAGUAAACAUUUCAUCAGAACAAGAAGAUCUGAUCGCAAAUUCAAACAUCACCUGCACUUUGUCACCGUGAUGGGAAAAGAGAGAAUUAUUUGUUAACCUGAAUCGAGCUAUUUCCCUGAGGGGUCCGCCAAUUCCACACCCUACAUCCAUUACCUAUAACGGGAGGGGAAGUGAAUGAUAAUUGUAAAAUUACCAUUUUAAACCAAAAAAAAAAUUGUAGAAAAACCUCAUGAUCUUGUAUCCACAGUGAGGGACAAACCUCGUAACCCGGUUUUAAGGCUAGCUGCGACGCCAGGAAGUGUUCCUGUCUCUUCAUGCUCUCUUGUAGAGACUCUCCUUUCCAUCUGCAGGAUCAACAACACAAUCAGCACCAUGAAUGAAGUAGAACAGGACUCCACAAACAUGGGCAUGAAAUCAAGAGUGCAUGGGAAACAUACGACCUGCGUGCAAAAUGGAAGGACUCUCCCCAGCCAUACUCAUAGAAGCUGGUAACAAGAUCAUAAUAUUUGUUGACCUGCAAUUGCAUUGUGGAGAUUGUCUUGGGCAAUUAGAAAAGCAAUACAAACCAGUCGUUCUAGUCAUCCAUUACAGGGCUGUUUACAUCCUGAAAGGGCUAGUAAAUGAGCUGGCUUGGUCGAGAGCCAAAAACAAGUCGUUUUGACACGGGAGGACAAAUACUUCUCUUACCAUGUCACUGUAGUUAGUUUUCCUUUCUUCCUCUUCACCUCCAUAGCAGACAUGAUACUUCUCAUACCUAAACCAGCAACAAAGGAAAAAAAAGAGUCUAAUAAGGUCCAUGGUGGCUACCGGGAGAUUGAAGGGACCUAAGUGUAGGAAUUAUAGAAAAACCGACGUGCGGGGAAUUAUUUUCUAGUUGACCUGACGGGAACCCGACUUAAUGUAAAAGAUCUUACUCAUUGUCACUACCGUUGUAGUCAAACUCACUCAAGACUAGAUAAAUCAGAAGGGUGUCUAGAACAAAAGGUAAGGUUGCGCCUGCAAAUAGAAGGGAUUGGCAUCUUUCAUGUCGAUUGCAUUUAGCAAUUCAAAUAAGUGGAUAAUGUUGAGGGACGAAGAUCCAACAAAAGCAAAAAAAGCCAGGGGAGAUCCUCUCUGUCGAUCUUCAUUGCGUUGCCACGAAAGGUCUGUGUUGAGGUGUGGAUUUAUAUCUUAAAGCUUCCUCAAGAGUUUAAAUAGCCUGAGUCACACGACUCAGGGACCGAAAGGCCAGAAGAAUUGUUCCGACGGACUUGAUAAACCUUUCCCAUAAGCAAAGAUUUCAGGAAAUUUACCAUAAACAAGCCCGUCGACUAUCUAUGGACACACCAGUUGGAAACAGCAACUUUUGCAAUGAUUUUCCAACCUAGACGAUGGGAAAUCACCCAGACAUGUAAACUUGGCGAUGCUUUCUUCAUUAUGUAAACUAUCAGUUGUCAAACUAUAUUUCAAAAGUAUAAAGACUGUUGACUUUUAACUGUCAAUGAAGGGAAGCAGUAACACUAGCUCACACCUAAACGCUAUAUCGUUAUGUCACUUGAUGUCUCAAGGUUUCAAAAUUCAGUACUUCCCAUAAUUCUAGCAUCCGCAAAGAACAUGGGAACUACUUGAUGGGAACCAAGGUUUGGCGUGCUAUUUAUGGGUGAGGAAAAUGCUUGAGCAGCACCCACUCUCCUCCUUGGUGAAAAAUUGGAACAGAUUAUGGAAAUAGAGAAGGGUCGAAACGACCAAUUAGUGCUUGGGCUGAGGCCCCAUCCAUUUUUCACCACCACGUCAGCGUAUUCAAAAGAAAAGGCAGUGAAGAAGCCUACUUGUCAACGGCGCAGAGGACUUCGCUUCUCUGGAUCGUUCCUCCAACGCCCGCCGCCAGAUCCAGCGCUCCGGCUUUUGACAUUAUUGCCACCACUGCCAAUAAACUCGCUUGCUAUUUACCUACCAAAAGCAAGGAGAUUCGCAAAAGAAUUAGCUCGUUUUGGAGUUUUCUUCAUCGCAUGAAUCAAUUGAUACGGCCACGUAGAUUCUACAGUUAGUACAAGAACAAUAAUGCAGGAUGUAGGUAGGAUCAAAGCAGAAACAAGCCUUUUUUUCAACGAUAUGCAAAGCAAAGUGAGGGUCUGGAGAGGACAGUACUAAAUGGUGCCAAAACAAGCAUGUUGCCAAUCGUCUAAUAUACAAUCUGAAGACGAAUAAAUACCUAUCACCAGUUAAAAUGAUUUGUCGUAGCGUAGCAGCACUCCAGAUUCUUCUGCUUUUUAAACUCUGAACGUGCCUAUCAAUCCAAAAUAAAAGACAUAAACAAAACCAAACGUGCGCUUGUGGCGAAUCCUAAAGCUUGCUUGCGGUGUAGACUCGGGCAGCGCCAGCUUUACGUGUAUAUGCCAAGACAAGUAAGUCGACUAUUUAAUCUGUCUUCAGAUUGUAUAUGGGACAACUAAUAACGGAUGAACUUCUAACCCCAGAAAAAUAUGUCUCGAAUGAAUUCGGGUGGUAUUAUUCACCUCAUUCAGCAGAUACUGGUUAAUCGCUAGCAUAUGUAAACGUGUGUCUAAAGGUUCCAAGCCAAGGUGACGAUGAUAUUAACGCGUCCGUUUGGAGUGAAAUUUUCUUUUUGUUUCUUCCAUCCUUUUCAUUCCACUGUAGCUUUUAUUUGGAAGACAUGGUUGCUCACUGUCCAUAUGAGAAUGUGUCAAGAAAAGAUAGGAACGUAUGCGAGGCAUGGGGUAUCUUGCCAGAUUGAAUGUCAACCCCGCAAAUAAAAACCAAGAGAUAAGACACGAGUGCCACGACCAAAAUUUAUUAUGCAUUGCUUUGCUUGCUGCUUAAACCACGUUGCAUCAGCACUCAGCAAGAGAAAGGAGGUCUGUUUUCCUUACAUGAAUAAAAAAAACACAUAAUCCUAUUCAGAUAAGAGAGGAACGAGUCUUUCCAGUUUACACGUGAUAUCAGAUAUAGAUUUUCCUUUCAAAUUGGCUCCGAGUCCGAGAGACAUGAGAAAUUGCCGUCUCUUGUUUACCUUCUUUCAGAGUUUAUAGUCCAAACUCAAAUCUUUGAACAAGCCGGACACUCUUCAUCGAAAGACCGAUAGCCGAGGCUUCCUGAAGAUGUAAUCCCGUCGUAACCACUGACGGGUGGAUUUUCUUCUCAGCCAAACAUCUUCAGAUGCGAUUCCCAUUGCAAAUACCAAAUAAUCAAUGCUAAUCGGCUAUAAUGAGCUACAGGGGGUGAAACUAUGUUUGAUCAGGAGGUCGUUAAUGGUAACCGGUAAAAGAGAUAACAAGUCUAUAACGGCGUUGGAGGGUGUACUAGAUUGUGAAGAAACUGCAGGUUCAUCGUGAACUUCACCGAAUUUGAAAUAGUGCUACAUUUGCGAGGUGCACAAGCAAUAACCGCGGAAUUUAUGUACUUACAGAUAUACAUACGGUUCUACAACUAAGACACGACCAAAUUGACAUGAUCAUUAAUCUGAACAAUUAGAAAGUUGUUCGGUCCAUUCGACGACUGGAAAAGAUUCAAACUUAGGCUACAUCUGAUACAAAUUGCUCGCAGCAAACAAGCAUGUUUUAAAGGAACAAAGAAAGGCACUCACACAAGCAACUGAAAAAAAGCCAAAGCGUAGAAUCCCAGGCACAAUAACCGUCCAAUCAUCUAAACACAUGAAAUUCUACCGAUUAGUCGGAUACUGAAAGACCCCAUUUCUUUAGAAUAAGUUAAAUCUGCACGGUCCCACGUCACUGAUUCUCAGAUAGGGGCUUCCGGGCCAAGAAGAAGUACAUCGGCGUAAAAAUGUCUUUCCUGGAGUACAUGAUCAACAGAAGAUUCAUCAGUGCUAUGCAUUAGACAUUGGAAGGGUAAAAACUUUAUAACCCCAUCAAAUUCAAUCAGAGCAGUUUUUUAUUUUUAUUUUCUUUCUGUGGGAAAUAAUUGGCAUAAGAACCAGACUCUGCCCUGCAAUAAUAUUGAGCAGGCACAAACACAGUGAUACUGAUUUUUUUAUUGUAAGACUACCACAGAAGCUUCUAAAAAAGACUACCGACCGAUAUAUUCCAAAGAAGUAUUGACAGGUAAUUGAGGAGAGCGAAAUUAUUGAAACCCUCACCUUCCACCUUCAACUAAGCCCUCUGCAGCCUUUUCCAGAAAAUCUUGAACCCUUAGGCUUCCUUUAGGGGCUAGGCCCACAUACUCUAGAGCCUUCACCUAUGCAAGUGGAAAUAGUGACAUUGCAUGCAUGAUCACCAUACACGAAAUGAUAUGCUGAAAUUACUUCGAAAACUUAAAGCCACAAGAUCACAUUAAUGUUUAAAUUAAAGCAUACCGACAGUCAAAAGUUCGCCAUAAAUGAAGCUUACCAUGUUUUUGGUAAUCAAACGCCCAAUAGCAGUGAGGCGGAAGCUAGACAGGGAGAAAUGAGUUUUAUCCAAAGGCAGGUACCAAGGGACAGGUGCCUCGGCAGCAAAAUCUUUUUCCCAUAUGACCUUCAAUUGAACAACAUCAGGUGACACGUCCAAUUUUUUUAUUAGAAGUCAUAGUCCACUUCUAACGCAACAUGUAAUCCUUACCUCAAAACCUGCUUGUUUUAGAGCUUCAAUGCAUUGCCCAGUCAACCUGAUGUCAGGAAGGCCAUCUCCGAUCUCAAUUUCUGCCUGCAACAAUUUGGUACGGUCACAUUUGCAUCAUAAAUGAGCUCAUUGGAUUAUAUAAACACAAAAAGAAAAAUGGUGAAAAAGUAGACCACACCGACCUUUAUCUUUUGGUGCGUCUCAUUGUUCGGAUCAAAGGAAUCAGUCAUACACCACUCAUAUGCAGCAAAAUACUGACCAGGCUUUAAUACUCUGUAAAUCUCUUUGUAACACCCAUACUGUCCCAUCCAGAAGGAGACAAAAAAAUCAAGACCAAACCAUUAAUCAUGUGUAGUUCUAGUGGUUGAAAAGCACAGGUACAUAAUCAAGAAUGAAGCUAAAGGUAACAUACAGCAUCGGGUGCAUGGCAGGUAGCUUCAAUUGCAUAAACUGCAUCAAAGGUAUUGUCAGAAAAUGGCAUCUUCAUAAAAUCAGCCUGCAUCAUCAAGAAACAAUGAUUUGCAAAGAGUUCUUCCACCAUAGACCCCAUUUUAUCUACAUAUAACAGUAAAUAAACACAGGAUCGGAUUAAAAACAUGAUAUGACCAUAAAUAACAGGAAAAAAUCGACAUAUUCUGUAAUUCUCCAAGAAUUUUUUAAGUUCUCUCUACAUACUGAAGAAUUACCCCAAUCCCAAGAAAAAGAAAAGAAAUGGUCAAAGCCUCCACUAAAGAAAGAUUUCAGUUGGGAUUUCACCAACCUUAACAAAGCCGCAUGUCUUGUCCACGCCUGCAAUGCGGUUUAGUUCCUAUGGAGCAAGAAAACUUGUCAAAGUGAAAGCCAUAAUAAAUUCACCAAUAUCAAAAGAAAGGGGUAAUAAAGGCACCUUUCCCCUUGUUAUCUGGUACUCAUUGUUGUUUAAUCCUGUAACAGAUGCGGAGCUGUGAAAAUGAGAAGAGAAAAUAUCAGCCUAUAAGAACCACCCUGGAAAAUAAACUACUUGUCAGAUGUGUGCAUGCCACUCUUAGCGCAGCAGUUUGUAUCUCUAAGGAACAGACGAGAUAUUUACAACAAUGAGACCAUCUGUUCAGCUUCAGUUAGCACCACUCAACUUUGCAUCACACACAGCAUACUAAAUUUGCAGACAGAACAGUAAAAUGUGCACGCAUGGUUGCACACACUAGACCCUGCCAGUUCCUUACUAAGGAAAAGAAGAUGAAAGGGCCGUGGUAACACUCAUAUGCAUCUCUUUGUUCAGCGGACAAUUCAUCCAAGCCAGAGAGAAAGAAAUUAUAAUCAUAACUGUUACCAUAACCCCAACAAUGCCACCAUGAUGGGACCUAGAGUUUUAAGUCUGACCUGAAUCGAGCUAUUUCCCUAAGCGGUCCACCAAUUCCGCACCCGACAUCCAGCACCUGUUAUGAGAGGGAAAGAAAGUAAGGAACUCAAAUCACUGUUUGAACCAAACAAAUUGUCCAAUUAAAAUUUUAUUAUCAACCAUCCACACCGAGAGGAACAAACCUUGUGCCCAGGUUUUAAGCCUAGCUGUAAUGCAAGAAAGUGUUCAUGUCUCUUAAUGCUCUCUCGUAGAGACUCCCCUUUCCAUCUGGAAGGAUCAAGAAAAUCAGCAGAAUUUAGCAUAAUUAGUCAAUCAAGCAAAAGGCCUUGCAGGUAACAAAUAAGAUGGAAGCAAGAUAAAGAGCCAAUCACAAUACCACCUGUGGGCAAAAUGGAAAGAUUCUCCCCAGCCGAACUCAUAAAAGCUGGUAGCAAGAUCAUAAUAUUUAUUCACCUGGAGUUGCAUUUGUAAAAAGCAUCAGCAUUAGAAAUCAAAUCGACCAGUAAUUUUACUCAUUUAUCAAGGCUGCGUUGCAAUCUAAAAAGCAAGUGCAAUGUUACCAUGUCACUAUAGUUAGCUCUCCUUUCUUCCUCAUCACCUCCAUAGCAGACAUGAUACUUCUCAUACCUAAACCAUCAGAUAAGAAUUAUUUAUUAGACCAUGGCCAUCAAGAGGUUUAGGGACUAAUUGUAGGCGAAUGCAUGAUAUCGCUUGUCUUGGAAAUUCUCUAAAGUGAAAAUGUUAAGAGAAAUUGCUCGAGCAUCUAAAGAUAUUUCGAUUUUCUAGUUUUUGUAAUAGUUAAUACCAGGAAAUAAUACCAAACUGUUAGUAUGCAGGUCCCCAGAACAGGGAAAGUUGCAGCUGCAACAUAAAGUACAAGGUCACCACAUGCAAACUAUAAAGGCUUCCACAGGAACAUGAAUUGCUUUCUUUUAAUUUUUAUUGCAUCUUGAAUUCAAGCAACAUCAGUACUCAAAUAAAUAGUGUACAAUGUCUCUCAAUUUAUAUAUCAGGGCAUGUCUAGAUAUUAGAAUGCCACUAUUUACAUUUGACAUCAUCUCAGAAAGAAUUUAGCAUUUUGGUUUGAUCUCAAUAAAUGGAUGCUAAAACAUUCCCUUGAGAUCACCCUUCUCUUCCUUUUAUCAUCAAGCCUUCUCUGUCAGUCCUGUAUCCAGCACCCUCUAGUUACUCUCUACAGGCUUCCUUAUAAAAAGCUUCCAAGUGCUAAGCUUUAUAUACUUCUCCAUCUCUAUCCCCUAAAUAUAAGUUUUGUCUCUCUGAUUCUCUAGACUUUAUGUCUGGUUUAUCAAUUAUCAAGAAAAGAAAAAAUAUAGAACCUUUCAAUAUCCAUAAAACACACAGGUACAGUUUAUCUCUGGUUAUGCAAAUCAUUCAUGAAAAGUGCGUUUCCUUUAUGUCCAGCAAUCUGGUUAUUAAAGCAGUCCUACUGUUUUCAGUGCUUCAAAUCAAUUUACCAAACAGCCAAAGGGUUGCUAAUUCAGACAACUUUUGGAAUGACAAAGGAAAACAAGCCAAUAACAUUCAAGCAAAACCCUUUCCGUCACUCGUUGCAUUGCCACAGCUCUAAGUUUCUCCGGCUAGUGCAAACUUGUGAAUCUUCAAACAUUCUGCGAGCUAGCCUAAAAGGGGAAAAAAAGGACCAGGAUUCUUCUUUUGUUAAAAAAUUGGCCAUUGUUAAAUAAGAAUUAGGAUAGUUAUUAACAUCAGUGCAUAUAAAGGUCAACGUUUACUCGAGCCGCCAGUGGAUAAAAUGAAUAUACAAAGGGCCAAUUUUUCUCUUGCUGCGUGCGUUUCAAUUAUCUGGGUAUUGCUAAGUCGAAUGCGACACUUCAAUAGCCCAGAAAAUAUUGUGUCUUGAUCAAUUGCGUCCACUCAUGGUGGAUGAAUAUCUUCAAGAGAGAUCAAGGAGCAUAAAAUCACUCUUCCCAAGACCACAACCAAGAAAUCCGCUCGCCCAAUAAAUAUGUGGACCUGUAUUCUUAAAUGAUGUAAUUCGAUCCAAUGAAUGAAUAGUUCACGUUUCUCUCUCUCUUCCCCCCCAACCACCCAACAAAAAAAAAAAAAAAGAGUCAAAGAACAGGAAGCCACGCGCCCAGAAGACUAGAGAGGGACAGAAUCUGAACCAUCGUCAUCCAUUUGACAAUCAAUUUCAAUUGCUUCAUCUUCACUCCCCACCAUCCACCAAUUCAAAAGAGAAAAAUAAAAAUAAAAAAUCGGACGUCACCAGACAAACACCGAUAUGCUCAGAUCGAAGAGACUGAGCGACAGAAGCGAUCAUGUAUGAAUAUACGAGUGGAACAUAUCAUUUUUCCACAUCCCAACCUCGCAUGAAUCGAACCAAUCAGAUCAUCGAAGCAUAAGUCUUAAAAGCGCACACACAAAAAAAAAAAAAAAAACAGAGGAUAAGCCUGAUCGCGGACAAGAGACGGAGCACGAUCCCACCGGCGCUUCGACUAGGAAAAAUCCAGGAAACCAAGAAGGGAGACGUACUUGUCAACGGCGGACAGGACGUCGCUCUUGUCCAUCUUCCCGCCAAGGCCCGUCGCCAGAUCCAUCGCUCCUGCUUUCGACAUUGUGGCCACCCCGCCCAGAAUCUACCAAAAGAGCAAAAAGGCAAACGAGAAAAAAGAAAAGAAAAAAAAAGUCAGGAUUUUGCGGGCUUCAUCACGCAUGAAAAAAGGCGACGACGCAAACCCAGAUUCCAGAAAAGUUGCAGAUUCAGGGAGAUGAACGAAUUACGAGGACAAUGCAGGAGGAGGAUCAGCUUCAGAACCCUAGGAACGAGAGAGAGAGAGGCAGAGACAGGCAAGAAGAAGAGGCUGUGUGCUAAAAAUGACGCGCCCAUCUUCUUAAUAUACGCCAAACACAUGGAGUCCCUUCCCCCCCGAUUAGAAAGCGUUUUUUUUUUUUUUUCUUUUUUUCCUUUGAAUUUGCUUGAGGUUUUCCUCCUCCUCCCUCCUAAUUUCAGUGUGUUUAUUUCCGGGCACGCGUCACGUGACAUUCCCAUGGAUUCCCCCAAUUUCAAUGAUCGGCAUCACACAUCAUUUUCAUGAACUAGGUAAAGGCAUAAAACCGAGCACGAGACAAAUAGUCGAAAUGGAAUCUUUAUUGGUGCGUUCCAUCGAAUGUUUUUUUACACAGCGCUUUUGAUUAUAAGGGUCGCGUCUAUGAUUCAUAGCGCAUGUCGAUUCAAGAUGGGGAUGAGAAAAUUUUCUGAUUUUAAGAGGGGAAAGUUUAGAUUUCGCAUCGGUAUUCGUAUAUUUUUAAGGCGCAAAAACAAAACGGGAGGGCAAGGGGGAAUCCCGAGGGCGGUUGCAGGCUAGGCACGUGCAGCGACAGCUAGUCCCGUGCUGCGAGCAGAUAUUAUCUUCUUCUUUUAUUUUUUUGUUUUUGUCUUCAUCUUUUUUCGGCUGUUAUUUCGGGCGAAGGAGGGGGGGUUUUCUAUCUUGGGGAGGGUGCUGACUAUCUUUGAACUUAGAAGAAAUGAACGACGUGCGUUCAAGUUAAGAGUCGAUCGAUGCUCCGAGAAAUGAUGCCCGUCGCUGUCGGGAUGGGACAAGGGCGUAAAAGUGGGGCUCAGGAUUCGUCGUGUCCACGUGAUCGGUGGUUAUUAAUUCUUAUUUUUCGUCUUGAAUAUAUGGCGAGUUGCGAAUGGAUUGACAGUGCUUUUUGCUUUUUGGUAGAGCUCGAAUUGUCGUCUACCUUCCCCUUUGCGAUUUCUCAGUUCGGCAGAGUUUUAAAAAAAGGGUCGAUCUUUUUGGUACCCAGAUAACUCUCAGAUGGCCAACCACCGUCAUUACAUUAAACACCCCAGUUCUCGUCAUUCUCCAUCGAAUCGAAUUGCGUCAGCUUCUUCUAACUUCAGCGAUUUUUGGAGUAUCAAAUUCGAACACGAAAAGAAAAAAAAAAAAAAAAAGAGGAAAAUGAGAGACGUUUGAAAAAAGGCGAUCCACCGGGAAUAUACUGCACACCGCAGAAAGAGGACGACUUUCUGGUCCCCGCGAACAUACCCCAACCCCAUUUUCUUCAGAUCUCGCCACGUCGUCCUCCGCCCGUGAGUAGAAAAAAAUUACCUUAAAAGUCCUAAAUAUAUUACAUUUUUAUCAAUUAAGACUUAAAUUUUUCAAUUUUACCAAUAUAACCUCAAAUAUUUUUAUUUUUUAUCAAUUGAAUUCAUUAAAUCAAAUUUUAGCAUGAAAUCACUAACGUGGAAGUCAGCAUUCAGCAAUACCAUGUAAGGUUGCUAGCGUUAACAUAAACUAAUUUUAAUAAUAUUUUAAUAUAUUUUUGAAUUUUCAAUUCUUUUUCUGAUUUUUUUCUCUCUUUCACUUUCUUUUCUUUUUCACUUCUUCCUCAUUUUGCCAAUGGUCGGCCACCGAAGUUGGCCAUCGACCAUGCCAGGUCGACUAGCCUCACCCUCAACGGGCGAGGUUCUGUAAGGGAUGGCCUUGCCUAGGUUCAGCAAGGCUGUCCCUCGCUGGGAGUUGCCCACCCAAGCAAGGCCUCAGACCUCGCCAAAUCUAGCCUAGGUGAGGCUGGUCCUAGUUGGGACUCGCCCACCCAAGCAAGGUCUCGAGCCUUGCCAAAUCUAGCCUAGGCGAGGCCGACCCUCGCAAUGUCUCGCUUGGCUAUGCCUCUCCCGUGGCAAGUAAGGCUAGUCGGCCCUAUAUAGUCGGUGGCUGGCAAAAGGAAGAAGAAGAAGAAGUAAAAAAGAAAACAAACAAAAGAGAAAAAUCAGAAAAAUAAUAAUUUUAAAAAAUAUUAAAAUAUUAUUAAAAAUCAUCAACGUCAACAUCAACAAUCUUAUGUUGGCGACAUCAACAUGAUUUUUUGUCAAAACGAGCCAGAUUGACUCAUUUAUGACUUAAUUAAUAAAAUUGAAAGUGCCAUAGAUUUAGGAGUUUUUUUUUUUUAGAUGAUACGCUUCCGUCCCCGCGCUGCGAGCAACCCACCCCGGUUUAUCCCAGAUGGGCCUUCCGCGGUUCAUUCUUCGGGCCCGAGAAAUGGGGAAAAAUGGUGCCUUCCUUUCUGCAGUCGUUCGUCGGCGGAUUGCUUCUUCUUCUUCUUCUGUUCGAAUACGACCGCGGCCUUUGAAAGCUCCAUCGAGCUCUCCAUCUCAAAAGUUUCGAGCUCACGCUUCUGUGCUUUUUGGAAGGGCGGGUUCGUAGCUUGUCGGGCCCGGAGGCCCGUGUCGAUCCGAUGCUUUUUCGUUCAGUGUCUGCACCUGAAAAUGAGGAAAGCUUUUCUAACCAUUUGAAAGCAGCCAGAGACGACCCGACAGCGGUAGCUCUCCUCCUUUCUUGACGACCCAAUUUUGCUUUGAUUUUCAUACCGUGUUUUCCCAACGCUCGUCCUUCUCAAAAGGGAGUCCAAAAGAUCCUCGCUUUGCCCCAUCCGCCCCAUCUUUAAUCCUUUCCGAGCACGACCCAGUUGAGCAAUCGGGAUACAAGGACAUCUCGUAAGUAGUGAUCGGUUUCGUGUGUUCCUGUUCUUUGAUCUCCUGUCGUACCCAUAAGUAGUUUAGUCGGAGACCGAAGAGUUUAAGCUCGAUGUUUGGUCGAAAGUGGACGAAACGGUGGCCCAAUCAAAACCACUCACGAGUUUGCGUCCAUUGUACGGUUGUCGAGUCCAAAUUGGUUCGAGUUCUUUUAUUCGAUUCUCGAUUUCUCCGAUCGCAUUACUGCAAUUUCCGAACGUUAUCGUGUGUUUGUUUGCCUCUGGGUUUUUAGUCUCAAAGCGUGUUCUCAAAUGUGAUGGUUGAUACCCGUAGAUUCGCUGUCCUUCGGGUUGAUGGAGCAGUGUGCCCAUGGAUUGGCUUAAUGAUUUUUAGUUCUCCUACAAUUGAAUUAGAACCUCCUCGGUGGUGCACGAAGCUGAGCUAGUCCGACUUCAACAGUCCUUUCACCACUCCAUUGUUCAAGAAUGGACAAUGACGAUGAUUUCACCUUCUGUCAGGCAAGUUUGAUGUACCAUCAGCUUGAUUAGAACUGGGAAGCUGCUGAAUUUGCUCGGUUUUCGUAUCUUUCGUGCGGGUCGUGAUUUUUUGUGAUAAUUUCUCUCUGUGAUGCUUCACUUCUGUAGGUGGCCCCACCUACUGAACAGGAAGGUCCACAGGGGAAGAAGCUUGUUGCGGAUAUUGAUGGUACAUCCAUUAGCAAGGAAUCUUCAAGUGUCUCUGGGGGCAGUCAGAAUGGAAGUUUUCUAUGGAAGGAUAAAGUAGAAGGUAAUUCCAUCCCUACUCAGCAGGGAACAGUUGGAUCUUUAACUUUCAAUGUUAUAGAUACGUCCUCGACCAAGAGUGCUAGCAAUCCCUUAAAAGGAACGGCUUCAACCAAUGCCACCACUUUGGUUAAAAACUCGAGCGAGCAGAAGUCAGCUGGAAGGAAGGCUGCACCUCGCGCCAAGGUUCCCUUUGAGAAGGGUUAUAGCCCAAUGGAUUGGCUGAAGCUCACUCGAACUCAUCCUGACCUUGCAGGUAUUUUAUGUCUCGCGAUUUCCACCUGAAUGUCAUGUGCUUGGUGUUGCAGUCUCAUAUCUAAAUUUAGCGAUAAUUAAGUUGUUGUGGUGUCCAUUAAACAAGAUUGAGAUAGCAUCGCACCUUUAACGUGGCAAGAAUAGUUUCUGUUCAAGUGUCUUGUGGUUACAGAGUCAAAAUGUGCCCAAAAUAUAGCCCUACUAGUUGGAGUUAAGCAAACUAGUUUACACUGCUAUCCGACUCGAUCUCUUCAGACCGUCUAACUCACACUGUUAAAAAGAUUUUGGUGUGCAGUAGAAUGAAAAUGGGGCCUUAUUGUGCACCAAAGGAAAACCAAGAUUGACCACUGUGAAGCUGUCCGCUUUCAUUCCUGAUUUGCCUUUUCUCCGUGUCUUACAAGAAUUAGUGCUUUUAGAGGUAUAAAAGAAGAAAGCAGACAUAGCUAUGCCUUAUUGUCAAAUGACAUCCAUGCAUGAUUGUUCUUCAUCGCAAUAUUGCUAUAAUCAUCAAGGUUUUUUUAAGCAGCCAACAUCGUUUGCUGGAUCAAAUAGAAAUUUCCUAGUAAAUGGUGUUGAGGACAUUCUUAGAUAGACGUGAGGACGUGUUAAAACUCCUUUAGAUGAAUAAUUGUGGGCAUAGCUUGUGAUGAUUCUUGCAUACUUAGCUUUUCCAUACACUAUGUCUAUUGUCAUAGUGAGCUAUGAAUCGUACUGGGUAGAAAUAAAGGAACACUGCCCACUUUGGGUCAUCUCAAAAGGGACACCCUUUCUACUAAGUUGAAAUUCCCAGAUUUCAACUUAUUCGUAACUAAUUAGCCUCGAGUGGUUACAGCUAGACACAAAAUAUUCGUGUGUGGAUAUUGCAUUAAAACUGUAGGAUGAUUUCAUUUGCAGUUGUUUGCAUAUUUACUUCAAACAAAGUAAAUAUUUUCUUAGUUUACAGGAAGUAGGCAUGAGAAGGUACAUUCUCUACCAUUAUGUAUGCUAUUUGAUCAAUUGUCAUUUUAUCUUUCAAGUUUGGUCUCUUAAUCUGAUUUGAACUUCCUUCAUGGGUCCCUAUGAUAAUAGAAUUUUGGGAUUCCGUGCAUCUAGUCUCCAAAAGUAUGUUUUUUCCCCCACUUACCUUGUACCUUUACAAAUUGUGACAUCAUGUGUUCCAGGAUUGAAGGGACAGUCUAACAGAAGACUGAUAUCAAUGGAGGAAGUUAAACAGCACCAACUGGAUGGUUCUAUGUGGACUGUCUUAAAAGGCCGUGUUUACAAUAUAUCCCCAUAUAUGAAAUUUCAUCCUGGAGGUAACCUUCUAUAUAUCCAUUUUCUAGAGGUUUAUGUUAUUCACUUGCUUGCAUGUUUGUUGUGGUAAACCAUGUGAUUUCUCUAGUCAUAUCCUUCAAACCAAUCAAACUCACCAAUGCCCAUGAAGAUGUAUAUGGCUUAAGUAAAUAUAUGGAUGAUGCCCCACUGAACAAUUUUCAGUAUUAAAGCAACAUUUUGAUCACACAAUGUAGAUGCAGUUGAAUGACUAAUGCCUCUUGUUGAAUAUGUUGUGCAGGUGUUGAUAUGUUGAUGAAGGCUGUAGGAAAAGACUGUACAUCCUUAUUUAGUAUCCUUUGUCAGAAAAUGUUUUAUAAAUUACUUUCCUCGCAUAAGGUGGGGAGGAAAUGGUAAGACUCAAGCACAGGCCUUAUGCCUGGGGCAGAGUUUCUUCUACCAACUAGCCCAACUCUUGCUCUCUACUUUGUAUGCCUUUCUUUGCCUUCAUCUGGUGUUUACCCAUGUUUUUCAGUCAAAUGGUGUUUGUUCAUGUUUUACAGCCAAUUAAAUGAAGAUGCUAUCAGGUUGGAAGCUGGUCUUGAGUGUAGCUAGUUAUCCAAACUCCUAGGAAGUGGGAAGUAGGAAGGUAUCUAGUUAUUGACAGGGGGAAGAAAAUGCUAAACACAGUCUUAGAUGUGUAUUAAUCUGGUCAAAUAAUUUGGAAAUUGCUUUUUAUUGUGCUGUGAGUCCCUGCACUAGGUUUUCUAAACGAGGGGGGAAAAGGCAAAAGGAGGAACUUAUUUUAGAAAAUCGAGCAGCUAGUAUGACGUGUUUUAACACUGCAAAGAGUAUUUUGGGAUCGAGAUAUAGUCUGAUUGAUGUGUCUAUUCCGCAAGCUGCACAUCUUCAUGGAUUUAAGUAGUUAAAGUCCUACAAAGUUGCAUAUGGUGGCUGCAAUCCUUAGCUCUUAUUCAGACAAAUACCAUGCCUGGGUGAAUGACGAAUUCCUGCUGGAGAAAUGCCUUGUUGGAGUAUUAGAUGAUAGCCGCAAAUAAACAACAGCAGUACAUGAAUGACUGAUAAUUUUUCUCAUUUUUAUUUUUUGAAGAUGGUGGCACUGCCAUGCGAUUCUGCAAUAAACUGGAGCCAUCGAGUGUCCAAGCAGUUUAUCUCCAUGUUACAUCAAGAAAGAUGAUGGCACAAGCAUCCAGUGGCAAUUCGUUGUCAUUCAUGUAGUAUCGUGUUUAAACAUCGAUUUUGUUGUAUGUCCUGAUGACAUUUUAGAAAAUAAUGCAUACUGCCUAUACUGUAGUCCAAAGUUGCAAAAGAUUCCUGCUGUAGUGAGUACUUGAAAUACUCCAGAACUUGGUCAAUGGUGCACCAAAUAAAAACAAUCAUAUGCUAGUUUUUUGUAAAAGAUGACCGAAACUAUGUACUGGGUAGGUUAAACUUAUAGUAUUCUCCUCCAUGAUUGGAAGACAACGUUUCCCACAAAUAUACUAGGUGUCAUUCUAGAGAACAUUCCCAUCUCAUCUUAUUCAAUAUGAUAGAUUGUAGAUCCUAUCGGAGUUUCUUAUCUCUCCGUUACUCGUAUUUUCUACUAGGAAAUAGCAGUUGUGCUCACGUAACUCAUAACGACAAGCAAGCGCUAAAGCAGAAAAUUUGCCUCAAUCAAAUGUCAACACACAAGACACGCCUAUUAGAACUCCUUAAGAAGUCUCCACGAAGUUUUUUUCUGAAAAUCAUUCGGUUUUCUGUCUCAACAUCUAGACAGAGGGACAACUCUAACUUCAUCAAGCACGGGGCCACACAGAGAGCCAAAGUCGUCGAUUCUGGUGUGGUAGAAUGAACUGAAGAAAGUGAGCCUUGUCCUUGCUGAAAGUGCUUUGAACUUUAAGCUUGCGGUCUUGAACCUCCCCUUCCCUUGCGAUUGGAAAGGGACUUUGAGGGUGUCUUUAGCAGCAAAAGCUUCCACCAUCAUCGACCCAUGGCAGCCGUUCCUCGCGUCUCCAACGGCAAAGGUGAGAUUGUAGCAUUUACUGGGGAGGGUUCUUAUCAUUUGGGCAAUCGCACUUUCUCUUCCUGCAACUAGCUCAACUGCUGCGAGUCCAAAGGGGACGUUGAAGUGCUUCUUGUCUAUGAACUUCACUGCCUUGAGCGAUUCAAUGAUCCAACCAGGAAGGGGAGAUGUGAGAUCCUCCUGUCUUGGGGGGAGGAGUACACCAUUGGAUGAAUUGAUCAGGCGGUGGGGACCCUCCUCAAAUCCGGCGUUCUUCACCAAGUUAUCUGCACAUUCUCAAAGGUCAGGAGUGGUGGAACUUGGAUUUGAACUUCUCCAGGAGCCAAAUAUAUAGCCAUGUAAUGUAGAUGAUGAAACUUCUGGUUCACAAAGAGAGAGUUUGUCUAGCCUUUGCCCAGAGAGGCAAAGCUUAAAAUUACGUUUUCAACUUGAAAGCAUCACAAACGGCUGUCGGUCCAUGAAAGAAAAGAAUGCCGUACUCAAACGCCUAUUCCAAACAUCUCAUGAAAAAAGCAAACCAGAUCCAGGAAAAACCUCAGAAGAAGAAGUUUCUUGGAGUGAGAGAACAAGACCCUUGCAUAUCAGAGAAACAUGAGCAGAGGAAGUAAAGAAUAGGGCAUUUACCAUAUUUGCAGCCUAGUAAAAUACUCACAAUAUGAUAUUGUAGGCGUAUCAGUUCAGAACAAAUCAAACCAAUCCGUGCAAGAAAUGGGACGAGAACCAUCAGAGAAUGAAGUGAACUCUCCUCUUAUAAACACGCAGACAUGAGUAGCUGAGGUGUUAAGCCAAAUAACAGGAACUUUCAACACGUGAAAAUGUGAUUUUGUCCUCUGUUCUUUCCCUUACCUCUUGUUGGCCUGGGAGGAAAGAGCUCCUUGAUGGCUACAGCAUCCAAGAGUGGGCCACAGGCAGGAUCCUCCUGAACUCCAGGAUUGUGAAACACCACCUUAGCCACAUUCGAAGCAGCCCUAAACCCCCAAGCAUACGUGUCCCCGCCAUUGCUGCUGUAGAGCGUCUGCAGAGGAAGAUCCCCUGUCUGUGGAUGCACGGACACUCUCAGCACCUCAUCCUGUGCGCAGGUUCUUGACGCUCCGAACGUGAGCGCGUACAGAGAUCCCGGUUUGACCGGUAUGGACUGUGAGAUGGAGGCGUCGUUGCCGAGCCUGACGGCGUGGACACCGUGUGCAACGGCAAAGAACAUACCGCCCGGCUGGGGACCACCGGAGAUGUACUCGACGAGGCCGUUGAUUUCCCACUUGGGCAAGCCAUUCUUGCCCUGGAUUACUGUCUUCUUGAGGUCAGUGCGUUUCGGCGGGUCUUCAAAGUUGCCAUUUGGUAAAAGCCCUGGUAAGUUUAACGAGUGACAAACCGAGAUAUGAAGUGAGAAAGAUGUCAAGAUCCAAACUUUACAGGAGCAGAUAACAGAUCAAGAGAAACGGAAGUAACCCAAGUGAGACGAGCGUGAAAGAGUUAACGCAUUUAGUUAGCUAUAAGCCAAAUGAGGCACAUUGUCCACAUUACCUUCCGAAGGUGGAGGUGGAGCUGCAAAAGCAGAAGCAGCUAUCAGCAGCAAGAAAGCAAGCACCGCUGAGCUCGUUACAGCCAUUUCUCAGAGGAAAGAGAGGAGAGAUGAGCUUAGUAUGGAGGAAAGAAGUUGAGGGGUGACUAGGUUUUAUAGAGAGAGAGAGAAAAGGGUUUGCAAUUAGCACAAAUCACGUUGAGGAAGCAUGGCCCUUGCUGGGUUACUGGGGUGACUGUAGCAUUUUCUUCUGUUGCGCGGUGCGGCUGUCCGUUCGUGUGAGACUUUUCGGGACCGACUUUUUCUCCUUAAUUCGUGUUGAUGGCGUUCACCUAAUAAUCUUUCGUUUGUCUUAUGUAUUACUAAACGCGGAAGUAAUAAUUGGGGGGAGUUUCUAUGAACUUUCGAAAAGAAAAGAGGUGCUUACAAGCUGGAACUCACGAUAGAUUGAAAUUUAGGGAGUUUCCUGCUUGUUCCAUGGCAGUGUGGUCUUAGCAUGCUCGCUUGUCGCACUGCAGCAACAUUAAACCUUAACCGUGUCUUCCUUAGUCCCAAUACGACUCGUUAUCCGUAAACGAAUGUAUCCGUUAGCCAAAGUUUCAUAGGGCUAAGACCACAUAAUCAUUGUUCAACUUAGAUAUUUUUAUCAGAAUUUCUUUUUUCUUUUUUGUUGAUGAAACUGUAAUUCGAGAAGACUAAAUGAAAAAUAAAAUUUAUGAUGCACUUUUAAAUAUCAUAACAUGGAUUUGAGGAGGUUGACGUUUUGAAUCUUCACGUUUUUAAAUUAAAGGGAUUAAGGUAAAGACAAUUUUAUUUUAUGUGUGGGUUUCGAUUCUUAUAUCUUAUAAGAAGAUUUAUAAGAAAAUAUGGCAAAAGUUUGAGAAUGAAAGAUAGAGUAAAAGCGAAAUACAAUCGACAACAAAAAAAAUUGUACCAGCUAGUCCUAUUGUACAUAACAAAAUACGAUUUUGCAUUAUGGAAACGUGAAUAGAACGGAUGGACUUCACUUAUGCAUGAUGCAGACAUGGAUAUAAUUGAGGAACUUCACUUAUACAACCUACCCAGUAGUGCCUAACACGGUGGUGUUGAAAUCCCAAGUCCUCGUUUUAUGACUUGCUCGAGAUUCAUGUCUGACAGCAAAUCCUAGUGUUGAAGUGUUGAAGAUUACGUGGGCCUAACCCAACCCAAUGGGAGGAGACCACUCUCACUAAUCAGUGCAUUAGCGGUAGACCGGCUACUUUUCUGUCAGGGCGUUUUCAGCUAAUAAAUGCAGGCACUAGGGAAGGCACCAACAUGUUCUUUCCGUAAAAAGACAGCCUUCACCAAUGGUUGCGCCAGCACAUGGAAGUUGCUGCUUUUUUACUCUGGUGAAACACGUUCUUCUAGGUCCCUCUCUCAUGCACUCCUUAUCCAUUUCCACAGAGAUUGGUGCUGUCUCCUAUGUUUAUAUUUGAGACAUUGAUAUUUGGUAUCGGUAAUAUUAGAAUAUUUAAAUAAUAAUUCAUGCAUUCAUCUAAUAACUUAAAUUUUUAAAACAGUUGACAGUGAUUUCACAAAAUCUCACAUAAUAUCAGAGUUAGGAAAUCGUGAGUUCGAAUCUUUCAAACCCCUAUUUGCCUCCUUAAUUGAAUUUCCACACUUAGUACUAAGCAAAAAACCUAGACUAAGCGUGAGGAGGGAGUGUUAGAAUCUCACAGGCUUUUCGGUGACUACCAAGACCGGACGCAAUUUCGUGUCAUCGUAUCUACGACUGCAUCAUCUUUUUCCGUUUGUUCUCUUUAGGAAAAAAAUUUCCAAGUGUCAGUCGGUGCAAAUAAAGGAUCUUUGAAUAUCUAUAGUUAGGAUAAUAAAAUUGGUCAGAUGGGACGACAGCGGUGGCUUGAGAGCUGCGGCAGUUCUUGCUUGAGCAGAUAGGGAAACUCAAUGCCUUUCCCUUUAUUUUUUGUUUUUUGUUUUUUCUAAUUUUGAUCGGAAAGAAAGAAAUACAAAAAGCCCAUUCAUCAGAACAUCAAGAUUUGUUUUGGAGAGCCCUUCACCUAUCAAAUUAUCAGUGAAUCGUGUUAACAAUGGUCUCAAACGAAAUACUUCCAUUGAAUAUAUGAAAACGGAUCAUACAUGGACCGCCGCCUCAUUUUAUAAAUUAAUGUUUAAGUAUACAUUUUUCGCUUAUCAGUUAAAGGGUUGGAAUAGGUAACAGCGUCGACGACCCUUCAAAAUGUUAUCUUAAGAAUUCAAAUUUGCUACAGAAUAUUCGGACGGCAUAAAAAUCACUGUGCACCGCCAUGAUUCACGUGUGAAGCCAAAAUUGACUGAACCGUUAUCGCGGCCCUAUCAAAAGACCAGCAGUCGAGACUUAGAAUAUUUCAAAAUGAUCCGUUGUUUGUUGUGUAGUGUCCAAGGUUUUGAGAAGAGACGGAGGAUGGGCCGAGCGAGAGAACGACACGAUGCACAUGCGGCUGUCCGGAGUGGGGGAAUCCGAAGACCUCGAUGCCAUGCACUCGGUCAAAAAAGUCAAGACAUCAUUGAAAGAAUCCAAUCUCCGUCCCAUGUGACAUCCAUUACUUUAAACCAUUGUCGACAAUUAUGACGAUGCCGCAUCACUCCCUCCCCCGUUUCGAUGAUCAAGGGAGGCUCUUUCUUAUCUCAAUUCGAACCCACUUAUCUACAACGCCCGGCUUGGUGGACCCAAAGGAGGAAAUUACCAAGUUCUGUAUAUUUUCUUCUCUGCAUCUGAUUUGGUGCAGAUGUCAGGUACACAGUUCGUGCCUUUCCAAAAGCCGCAAGAGCUAAAUGGACAAAUUAGGCACGGAGCAGAACAUUGUGAUUUCGACAUAGAUUCUCCUCAGCACAUUAUUAUAAGAAAUUGCAAUCAAAUCUCAAAUCUUCAUGUAAGUACAUUCAUAAUAGGGAUUAUAAUACAAAUGAUCCCUUGAUUUUUUGUGUAUGUUCGAACUAACCUUAAAUUAUAUGAAAAUAUUCAAUAUUAUUUUUAAAUUUAGGAUUAGUUUGAAUAUGUACCAAUAAUUCAUUAAUCACAUUAAAUACAUUAAAAAUUAAAAAUUACAUUUAAAAAAUUAAAAAUCAUAUUACACGUUAAAUUAAAAUUCAAGAACAUCUUCCCAUCAUAGUGAUGUGAUCUCUUUUCAUGCCAAGACUAGCAUCGAUCCAGAAAGGAAGCAGACAGGAAUGCUUUGCCACUGCAAAGGGCGACCUGCCGUUCCUGCUGUGUAUACCACUUCUCGAGGAAAAGAUGGACAAGAAAUUUAGGGCGCGUUUGAUUGUGUUUCUGUUUAAAAAUUGUUCCAGGGAACAGAAAUAGAAAAAAGUAUUUCUGUUCCGGGGAACAAUUUUUGAACAAAAAUACGCGUUUGGUAAACUUGUUCCGGGAAUAAAAAAUAAACAGAAACAUGUUUGGUAAAUUUGGAUAAUUUUUUUAUUUCUUUUAUUUUUUCUAAUUUUUUUCUUAUUUUUCCUUUUUUUCUUUUUUCUUUUUCAUUUUUUUUUCUUCUUUUGGCCGGUCGCCGGCGAGGGCCGAGCUCGCCAAGUCGUCGGGCGAAGUCAGGUCAACUCCGUUGGUUGGCGUCAGAGGGCGAGUUCCUUUCUUGUCUUGGCCAAAACUUUCUUUAUUCUCAUUGGAGAAAAGACUCUCCCGCUGCAAGGUUUUACACAUAGGGGAAAGCUGGCUUUCUUUAAUCUUGGCUUGGCCGUUAAUCCGUCUAGCGGCCUUUCGGUUGGGGUCCGCCCCGAGGAGUUAAACUGCUUGGGNNNNNNNNNNNNNNNNNNNNNNNNNNNNNNNNNNNNNNNNNNNNNNNNNNNNNNNNNNNNNNNNNNNNNNNNNNNNNNNNNNNNNNNNNNNNNNNNNNNNGCCCAAAGGAAAGGAAGACCAAAAAUAGAAAAAAAGAAAAAAACCAAAGUGUUCUGAUUGUGUUUCAGAAACAAGAAACAAGUUUUUGUGUUUCUUGUUUCUGUUUCUUUUUUGUUCCUGGGAACAAAAGAACAAACAAGGAACAGAAACGCACACAAACGCGUUUCUGUUCCUUUUUUGUUCCCAGGAACAAAAAAACAGAAAUUUCUGUUCCUGGGAACAGAAAUAAGUGCCAACCAUGCAGGCCCUUAGUGGUCACAGAUGACUGAUGAGGCCUUGUUCUCGGUCCGCUCAACAUGGCAAAGUUCAGUUCCAUUCCAUGACAUAAAGCAACUCAUCUAAGAGAAGCCAUUUCUGAAGUCUUACAUCCAGCAACCAGAGAACACAUUGCGAGUAAAUUAAAUUGCAAAAAUUGCAAUAACUGUGAGCUGUAUCAUCGCUAUCUUCAGCCGCCAGGAAGUCAACUGAAAUCUAUUGCCAUGAGUUGUAUUAUUGUAAUUCCUCGCAUUAUGUCCGAAAGAUUAGUUGCCCUAACAGUAGCAAACAGCAACUACAAUACUACAAAUGCACACUCCAAUUGGAAACAAAAAAUUGAGGAUCUGAGACAUAUUGCGAUGCAGACAGAUCUUUAGCAAGUGGUUAAUUGAACCCUCUAAUUACUCGGUUUUCUGCCUUCCAUGCUUGAAGAUGCGAUAAAAUAGUGAGAGCAGCCACUGCCAUAUCACGACGAGCCAAUUAGCGCGCUGGGGCUUAGGUUCAGGUCUCGGCCCAAAGAUUCCUUUGUAGAUCUCCUUUUGCUUCUGGUAGACAGCCUUGUCAUGUUCAGCAAGUAGACGCAGCUCCCUCGUAAUUGCUUUAUCAUCAGGUGCAUAUUUGCGUGCCUUGGCAAAAUCUUCACGAGCUGCAUCAGUCUGCCCAAGUUCUGCUCUUGCUUUUCCUCUUCUAAACAGGGCUUUCGCAUUGUUUUCAUCCUCGCCCAAAACCUGUAAUGGCAACUUUAUAAAUCUCUCCAUAAUGAAGUAACAAAUAGAUCAAGCAUGUUAGAGUUCUACAAAGCAUCUCAGCAUGCAGGAGGAAGGAAUUUCAGAGUACAGACUAGCACAGCACAAUGGGCAUGUUUACAAGCCUCAUCUAAAACAGCUUGAGAAUUAAGUCCGGAAGUAUGAUCUGAAGAUCAAGAUUCAUUUAUUGCCAAUCUAAACUUUGGAUAUUAAUGUACCACAACCACCACUUUUAGUGUAAAACCCUCGAGGAAGUAAUGGGAAUAGACUAACGUCACGAAAGGUAGAACUGUGCAAUGUUGAAGUAUUUUUAUUAAAAUCUUCAAAUUGAGAAAUUAAGAAAAGAAAUACCAUACUUGUGUUUGGAUGGGUCAAGUCUAAUUCAGUGUCAAUGUCAUAAUCAAAGAUUGCAGGUAUUGUUACUCAAAGUGAAGUUCCCCGCAAAGUGCAUAAGCUUUGAUUGAUUCAGGUUUCAGAUUCCUAAGACGUCCCAAUUUCUGGAUGAUAGUAUAAAAAUGUUGAUCACAGAGAUUUUCAACGAAAUUCAUGUUAAUCAAUAUUCGAUUGAUUGGUCUGGGGUUAUUGACAAAAAAAAUUUGCCUAAGUUACUUCGUUUUGAUUUUUUCCAAGUUCCUUCUCUUUUUGUCCAAGCAUAAUUUCAUGCACUUACAAUGCUACAGUGCCCAAUUGCCUCUUCAUAACGCUUGAGCUUUAUCAGACAAGCUGCCAUAUUAAGGUGACAGGGAUUCUUAACAGCCAAAGCCAUGUCCCUGUACUUCCCAAAUAACUGGAACAUAAAAUCAUCUCCCAUGUAUGCUAUGGCCUGACACAGAAAAAAAAGAACAUCAUCAUCAGAAACGAGAAAUAUUUACCCAAGUCACCUGGGCAGACAUUUAAGGCCUGGUCCAAUAUUUAGGAAUACAAGAGCAUAACCAUUUCAUACUGUUGCAUAGCUUCCUCCAGUUUUUCCUCCUUAAACAAAGCAUUUCCAUCCAUCUUUCGACGAUCUGCAGCCCCUAUUCUUUCCUCCACGGUCAUGUCACUUCGAGCUUUUCCCUUUAUUCUCAAAGCCAAAAUAGAAAUCAUUAGCAUGUUAGCAAUGUUAUAGCAUUUAAAGUGGCAGAUGUAUCACAUUGAGAGGGAAAAGGAUAGUUAAGGUCACUAGAAAGAACAAAUCACAAAAGCAGUACGGUAGUGGCAUACUUCUUUGGUCUCAUCAAAUCCAAUAAGCUCAACUUCGUAUAAUAUAUCUGCCAUGGGAGGAACGUUAGGAAAAGAGAAGCUUCCCUCUUUUCCAUAACCUAACUCCCAACCGACAUGUAAUAAUGCACGUUCACCAGACUUCAUGCUGGAAAUACCAAUAGCUAAGCCUUCCAUCUCUUUCUUCUCUGUCGGACGUGAAAUGGUAUCAGACAGGAAAGCAAGUCAGAAAAGAUACAGAAAAACCACAUGCCUGAAAGUCUGCUCCCAUUUGAAACUUUGAGAGAUCGAAGUUGAAAAGUUCAGUCAUCUAAAAUAAAAUACUACAUCAAAAGCUUGAUUUCGGACCUAGGAAACUGAAAUGCUCAUUUUUUUCAAAACUAUGCUGAUCAAAAGUGCAAUAUUUUUGAAGUAUUAGACCAACAUUAAGUAUGACACAUCAUACUGAUAAAAUCUUCCAAAAAUGCUCUACAAUCCACGCAGUGAAGGGACUCAUGAUCUGAUGCAGUAGGUAGUGCAAAGUUAACAAAUAGGCUGCAUUAUCAUAAAUUUCUAUUGUCACAAUGCAUUUCUCAUUUAUAUUAUCACAUGCAAAAUAACUUCCUUAUCAUCAAAAGGCCUAUCUCUGCAUUUCCUUUUUCCUAGUGCAUGUUGAUCCUUCUCCGUAGAAAAACAAGGCGAUAUGAUUUAUGCGAGAACCUUGCUCCUUAUCUGUGGUAGGGAGUUAUAAGGUUCCGUUUAGUGGUAAAGUCUAUAGAUCUCACAAUUUCAGAUUAAUCUUCUCAUUGGCAUCGGAUGAGACUUUGAAGGAAAACAGGAACAGGCUCUCUUUACAUUUCAUCGGCGUCUUACAGCUCGUACUAAAGAACAGAAGAACUUUGACAUUCAUCAUUCAACAGUGUACCUUUUCCUAUCACCAAUUCAAGUGGUUGCUGCUCAUGCCAUGUGUCUUCAAAUUUGUGCUGCGUACUUUCAGUCCAUGCCUUGUAAUGCACUGUAGUAAUGUAUGCAGUCGCUCAGAAAAGAAGCUCAAGUUUAUGCAAAACAAGGAAAGAUGUAAACCUAACAGAACAAUGAACCAUGAGAACUUGGGAUAUUAAUCUACUCCUUAUGUGUUCGAGGAAUAAUAUGACAAUAUAGCAUUCGAACAAAUUGAAGUAGGCAUCAUGUCACAUGUGCAGCAGGCAGAAGGGGGACCUGUGAAAUAAAAAUGCCUCCAUCCUUCUCUAAAGUAGAAAUGAGGAAUGAAUAACAUCAUUAAAAAAAAUAUAUAAAUAUGUGAUGCUUCCGCAAUGGAGGCAGACUAGCAACUACAGCAAACAGGUAGCCCGGUUAAGCAUGUAAACUCAGUGAAAGUAGAACAUACCAAAGCAUGUGGCAUAUUUUGUUGGUUUCUGUCCAUGACCUUCCUUGAUAAUUUGCUUUGUCACUUUCUCAUGAAGGACCUCCACCUCAGAUUCAGCUUUGGGAGGACUAUCACCAUCUUGAGGUGGCACACCAUGCACAAAUGAAGCACCUUCCGUGACUAUUUCAUUUUCACUAUCUUGACCUGUGAGAUUAACCAGACUCAAUGUUUAUUUCCUGGUCAUAGUCAGUUUCACUUCAAGGCAUGGGAGAUGUUUCGUAAAAUUUAACCUCUAAAAUUGAUAUUAUGAACAUGGAAAUAAGGCCAGAAAAUUGAAGCUUCUUUCUGGCUAGUUGCGACGAUAUGACUAAGGGAAUAACUUGACCUUAGCUAGCUUUAGUCCACCAAAUUUUUGACCAAGAGAAAUUUCAAAAAUGCUUUCGAAGUCUUAACGUAAAACCCUCUUUUCCUCGCAACGAAUCGUUCAAUGUCCUCACGUGUCAAUCUGGGUUAGGAAAUUAAGCAUACGAAUGCAAGCAAAGCGGUACAUUCGCGAGGGAAUUACGCAGCCUCAACAUGAUGAGAAGUGCAAGGAUCAGAACAAGCAAACUCUCAAUUCACUCGUUCGCGAAAGUACAGCUCGAGGGAAGAUACAUUACCAGCAAGUGGUUGACUUUGCUCCUCUUGAACUUCCUCCAUUGGACAAUGACAAGAAAAAACCCAAUUAUUUUUCCUCCUACCUCCUGCAAUCACGCCCAGACCGAAACAUCAAAUAUCACAACACACCAUCUGCCAACGAAUUACCCAGCACGUAAAAACAACCGGGUCAAGAAUCACACGCCCUCAAUCGAUUCGUAAGCCGCAUCAAAACCCAUUUUCCCAAUGAUCCAUCUAAAACUGAUGGAGACAAAUGGAGCAUAGACAUCCAAUUCAAAUCGAGACAAGCCGACCCACAAAGCAAGGCGAGGAGUUGAGGCAAGAAGAGCUGAGUUGCUUACGGGAUUGCGGGGCGCGGGUUCGGGGAGAGGCUUAGCUGAGCUGAGAGGAGAGAAGGGAGAUGCGGAAAGUUGGAAACUGAGCUUGGCUUCGAGACGAUCGAAGAAGAUUCUAGAUGGAAAAUGUCAAAGUCUGAUCCAUGAGUGUAAUUUGACCGGGAGGCGAAGAAGAAGAAGACGACCCGGGGACAAGUACUAUUUCCACACCCCAGAUGGCUAAAGGCACAUCCUUUUGGAGUUUCAUGUGAGUUCCUCAAAUACCCUCUUGAAUUUCAACAUAAAAAAGAAUAAAAGAAAAAAUCAUUUCGAAUAGUGUUAAUCAAAAUUCUGAUUGAUCUGGAGACUAUUUCCGUUAAUUUUCCUUAACGGUACCAAUCAGCAAUCGAAAUAUUUGAGGAAGACUUAUUGGGAAAAUAAGGAUGAAUAAUUACGUCUAUUUUUGUAAUAUAAUUUCAAAAGUAGAAAGAUGAGUCAUAAAAUAAAAAAAGUAAACUUUUGUUUCUUUAUGGGGGGUAAAGUGAUGUAUGCCCAUGUUGGUUUGAUGUCUGAACGUUCCGGUCCAUGUCAAUGUGAAAAAUUGCUAACAAUGACCAAAAAUAAAAGAGGGAAGGAACGGGGCUUUUUGAGCUCAAGCAGAGGAGUCUUGAAGGCAUUGGGAUUCAUUCCAUGUUGUUCAAAAUGUGGGGUGGACAGGACUUGUUCUCCAGAGUUUGAGCACACCUUUUUGUCCUCAAUUUUAGCAGCAGCAGUCAGCCACAGCCACUUAUUGCACCGUGAAAACAGGAGAUGGAGAAAAAGAGGUGAGGUUGGUUGGUCACUCGGACACGAGGGCUGAGAAAAUGAAAAAAGAAAGAAAAAGAAAUUCCAAGAAACUGCCUACAUGAGAAUUACCUUUCUGAUCACGAAAGUGAAAUUUUUCCAAACGAGGGGUAGGAGAAAUGCCAGGAUUCUUCGACCCGGAGAAGGCGUUCGAUCAAACGUGUACAGAGAACCUCAGAAAGAAUGCUUCCAAUGCUGCAUUGAAGAUCUUGGCGUUUUAUGCUAUGGUGAUCAUAUGCAAUCUCUUCCACCAUCUCUUGAGGCCUUGGUCCCAACCCCGGAUCACAUCUGACCUUGUAGUAAGUACUCGAUAAACCGAAAGAAGAGGCUGUUAAUUUUCCCUCGCGUUGUUAGUUUUUGCAGUUUCCUUUUCAGAAGUGAAAUGAUUAAGAAAAAACUGGAUGUUGCCCUGCCAAAUCUCCUUUUCUUAUUCUUCUUUUCAUCACAACAUCAUUUGACAUAGUAAUUAGGAUUUCUCUGGCACAUGAGGCAUGAGUUUCAGGAAUUUCUAGCAGAGUUUGUGUUUCUUUAAUUAAUUAUGGAUUGCUUUAAGGCAUUUUCUCUUUGAACUUGUCCCGUGCCUGAACCUGAAGCAGACGAAAGGCAUCGAGUAUUGGUUUUAGAUCCAUCUGCCGUGUUGAAUCGCAACUUAUAUGACUGGGCCUAAUGUUUCAAGGUCGAUGAGCAUGUACAGUGAAGAUAAAAGCAAAUCUAAUUAGUCUUUUUUGAUCGUAAUAGACUUAGAAUGUUCUACCUGAACUGACCUUCAUCGUCAUGUUUCGUGUAGAUAGGGCUCACCGUUGGCAAUAUAGGACCAAUUAAGAACUGGAUAGUUUCUAUACCAGAGGCACUGGAUUCCAUAGUCCACUUCGGAAUGAUAUGCUACAUGUUUGUGCUUGGUUUGGAGAUGGAUCCAUACGUUCUCUUUAAAUGGCCAAACCGAGCCGCGAAAGUAGCCUACGCUGGGAUGCUGUCCACCUUCAUAUUAGCCAGCACCAUAACUCCGUUUUUCCAGUUCUUCAAGGUUACGAGCAUAAUGCGUGUACUUUCCCUUUCCACGGCUCUCUCCGGCACAGCCUCACCGGUUCUUACUCGUGUAAUCACCAGCCAGAAAAUAGGCAAAUCAGACAUAGGACAGCUGGUUAUAGCAGCAGGAAUGCACUCUGAUUUUGUAUCCACCCUCCUAAUUUCUGUGGGUUACAUUGCUUUUCAAGACGUGAGCGAAUCCAAUGGUGCCCAUAUUAAGCGAGCCAUAAUACAGAGCAUUGCACUAUUUGUACAGUCAGUACUCACAGCUCUAGUCUCUCCCUUUUUCUUGAACUGGGUAAAUAAUGAGAACCCAGAAGGGAAGCCUCUGAAGGGCUCGCAUCUUGUGCUGUCUGUGGCUUUCAUGGUCCUUGUAUGCAGCUGCUCGACUUUAUCUGGGUACAGUCCAAUUCUCAGCGCAUUUAUGGCAGGGAUUUUCAUGCCUAGAGAGGGGAGAGUUUCUAAAUGGGCACUUGGUAAAAUAAAUUACUUCUUGACCAGCAUUUUCUAUCCGAUAUUCUUCUUUUGGAUGGGAUAUGAAGCUGAUUUCAAAAUGUUCGAGCCCAGACACCUGAUGACCUGGGCACGGCUAGUGAUCCUUCUUUUAAUAGUGACUGCUGGCAAGGUUGCCGGUAUCAUCAUUUCAGGUGCAAUUCUGGGGUUUAAUUGGCCGGAGUCUGUCAUGAUCGGGUUGCUUCUUACUGUCAAGGGCCACUUCCACAUAUUCUUGGCUCUCGUUGCAAAGCAAGUAAGUUUUCCUUCUUGAUCUGCUUGCACUUUAGAUUUCAUUUACCAUACACUGCUUCAAGCAAAUAAUUUUUUGGCAAUUGUCAACAAGAUUAAAGUGAUGUUGCACUAUGACAAUCUCGUGUAUCAUUCAGUAACAUCAUCUAAUUAACACGGGGGAGAAUUUAUGCAAAAGUUUCAGCCAGUUUAACUUAACUUGCAAUGCUUGUCCAUUGACCGGGGAGAAGAAGCCAUUCAGGGGGGAGAUUCUGAAUUAGAGAGGACAGAAUUACUGACAUUAUAACCUCUAUGCUUACAUGAGUUGGAAAAGUGACUGUUCAACUAUCAUCCACCAACUUAUCGUGUGCUGUCAUCAUUUGGUGGAACUUCUUCUGAACUUAUGGUUUAGGAUUUCAUCAGUCAAAGAAUGUAACAUUUGGCCUUUCCCUGAAAGCAGUAUACCAUGUAGACCUUCUCAUGCCUCCAUUAUCUUAUAAAUCAAUGCAGACUGGCAAAAUACUGCCUUCAGCCAGCAUUGGGAUGAUACUCGUCAUUUUCUUCACCGUGGUCCAUGCACCAUCUGUUGUCGCAAACAUUAUUAAACGAGCAAGGAAGCGUUCGCCAACACACCGCAUGGCGCUUCAGUGGCUUGACCCGUCGAGCGAACUCAGGAUGUUGUUAUGCCUUCGAGGGCCUCAGGAUGUGUCUUCUAUCAUCAACUUUAUGGAAAUAUCUCGAGGAACUGCUGACCCUGGGAUGGUGGUCUACGUUACUGACAUGAUAGAACUUACGGACCAAAUAGCAGCCACACUGGUGCACGGGGAAAUGGAUAGCAUUACUGUUACAGACAAGGCAGUGACGGAGAUGAGAGAUCAGAUCACUUCUGCAGUACAAUCUUUUGUGGAGGAUAAUGGGGAUGGAAUCACAUUGCGGAGAAUGCUGGCACUCUCGCCAUUCAGCAUCAUGCCCCGGGAUAUCUGCAAUUUGGCAGAGGAUCUGUUGAUCUCUCUUAUCAUAUUACCUUUCCAUAAAUGCCAGCGCGCAGAUGGAACUUUUGAUGCAGGGCAUCCAGGGUUCAGAUUUGUGAACCGUAAGGUAAUACUAUCUCCCAAAUGUUCUGAUGCUUUUCAAGUAUGUGACGUGACAUUCCAUGUACGCUCAAAUUUUUUUAGCUCAGCGUCAAUCGAAAGUGAGAUGGCUAAUUAUGGGAAAGUGAGAUGUAUGCUUGUGUUGGUAUGCCUCAGUCACUCUUUGCCUUUUAGAGCUGUAAAUAAUCCCUCCUCUGCUUUGAUCAAUAUCGUUCGCACGACUUAUGAUCAUUGAAGGGCCUCGUAUUUCCUUUUUGACUCUGUAACACACAUGUAGAGCAACAAUUCUCUUUCAUGCUGCGCAUCCGUAAAUAGACCACAUAAAUCAAACAAACAAAAUGCAAAAAAGAAAAAGAGCAGAAGAAUUAUCUAGAGCAUGCUAGACUUUGGCUCCAGGACUAGAAUCAGGUAGUCUUAGAACCAUUUCCUACUGCUACAACAAGACAGAGAGAGUGAAUGGAUGAUGGAGUUCUUCUCAAUAUCUCCUGGCAUGCAUAUCCUGUAGUAGAGGCAAAUCUAUGUUCUCGUGUCUGAUAUAAGCAGCAAAUCUGAGCAAGCACUAAAAGCAUCGCAAGAAAGCUGGCAGAGUGGGAAGUGUCUGUUCUUUACAGGCAAUUAUCAUGUUCAUGACACUCCUUCACGAUGACAUGUUUGAUUUCUGAACUUGGUAUUCACAACAUUUAGUUUGGAUGCAGAUGCUUAGGCAUGCUCCGUGCUCCGUUGGGAUUCUAGUAGAUAGAGGGUUCGGAUUGACAGAAAAGAUUUCAGGAUCAUAUGUGUCUCUGAACAUAGCAGUCAUCUUCAUCGGUGGCAAAGAUGAUCGAGAAGCACUUGCCUAUGCCGGUCGUGUGGCGUGGCAUGCAGGGGUGAAACUCACAGUCAUAAGAUUCCUUGUGCAAACCGAUGAAGACAUUUCGUCGAGGAGAGCCAGCAACUACAGAUACAAUGCUGCCGAGCAGGAGCAGGAGAUGAAACUAGACGAUGAGUUCUUUGCCAACUUCUACGAGAAACAUGUGGCUGGCGGGCCUGUCGCUUACUCAGAGAAGCAUCUAGCUAAUUCAGCGGAGACGUUUUCAACUUUGAAAUCACUAGAGGGGCAGUACUCACUGAUCAUCGUGGGCCGAGGAGGGAGGGUAAAUUCAGUAUUGACCGUGGGGAUGAAUGAUUUGGAGCAGUGCCCCGAAUUGGGGCCGAUAGGAGAUGUACUUUCGGGGUCUGAUUUCUCUAUAUCGACUUCCAUUUUGAUCAUCCAGCAACCGAAUCUUAGAGGAGAGCUAGAAGGUCUCGAUGAAGAUUUCUCCAUCAUGUAAAUGUCGGUCUUAUAAGAAUUAGCUUACAGCGUCAUGUACUUUAAAGUAGCGCUAGAAAUCUUACUCUUGGUAGGAAUAUGGAAGAACAAGUAAAAAAGAUAACUGACAACUCAUAGUUGAAAUUCUGGAAGUUAGAGAGAGAGAGAGAGAGAGAGAGAGAUAGUCGGAGGACAUUACUUUCAAGCAGUUCAAACUUUCGUAGGGAGAAGGAUAGAGAAGCAAAGAAAACGCACUACGUACGUUCUGUACUGCGCAUGGCUGUGGAAAUUUUUCUCUGACGCAGCUUUGGUGCUUCGGAUUAGCAAUUUGACUGCAAAUGACUCCCUUGGGACAUUUAAGAGACAUGGCUAAGUUGUUUCCAUUCUGCAAACUUUUUCGACAUGAGACGAGAAAAGUAUACCGCCGACCAAAUUCAGUCAUGGACAUCUUCUCUUCAUUGGCACAUUCCUUGGAACAUUAGUACUCAUAAAAGCUUUUGAAAAUGCAUCGAAGAGGCUAGUCUUUCAAAAAAUUGGUGUGUGCGCUAUCUCUCGAAUUUCCACCAACAGAAGUUGCGUCCGAAUGAGAGAUUCCAAUUGUGCCGUUCAUUGUCUUUGACUAUCUAGUAAUACCGGAGCAACUGUUCACAACACAAACAACCCGUAGGCUUUGGGCCUUUGGCCCAGUGGCCGCACAUCUACCUCGAGACUGGGAGGUCUGGGGUUCUGGGAAGAAUGUACUUGCAAGCCAAUAAAGAAAGCAAAUAACAAGGAAACUGCAGAUAACCCGAUGCAGGGCAUAAAUUGAAACCUGAGAGAUCAUGCAAACCACAUAACUAUAUUCAACUAGACUGCAAUGUCGCGAUAGUUGAUGGCAAUCAUUAGACAGAGAAGUACAUAGGUCCAUUAAAAAUGGUUCUUGAACCCCCAGCUAGAGAAUCGAACAGCUGAAUAUGCCAAUUUGCCAAGGACAAAACCCUUGAGAAUCCAUUACAUUUAUACGUCCCCAGCAAGAAUCUGUUAAUUGACCAAACACAGUUCUUUCUAGUAGACCACCGCCAGCUAUCAGUACAUGAGCAAGCAAGAUUAAACAGCUGUUCCCAAACGCAACUCAGUAGUCCCUUGAAUGUUUAGCCAUCUCAGUCUGCAAAAUUAUUAAACAGAUAAAAUAGGUAAGGUAUUUGACCAAAAAAAAAAACAAAAAUGGGUAAGGUAGAUCCUGUGGGUGGAAAUUAUGAGUUACAGCCACAAAUCCUAUAUAACAGGCAAUCAAUGACUUCUAGUCUACAUUGCCAAUUGCAAUACCAGCAACCUAGUAAUCUAGAUUACAGGUCACCCGCAAGAUAACCAACACUUCUCUCUCAAUCAUUCCUGAAUCUUUCCGACUCUUUAACUUCAUAACAAUAUUAGGCCAGGUUUGCAAUAUUUUAAAUAAGCAUGCUACUCACAUGACACAAACCCCAAUUAUGUCCAAUCACCGCAAAAGAGUCAAACAAGACAAACAAAACUGCGAUCCCAUCCUAUGGUCCUUCUCCAGAAGCAGGUGAGAAUCAGUUAAGCUGAAAUCCAAGAAAUGCAUCCCAACAGUUCUGAUCACAUUCUUCGGUUUAUAUGCAUGUUAGAUGGAAAAUAUUAUAAUAAUUCCUGUUUUCUAUCAGGUUAUUUGCUUUUCAUCCACAAAAGUAGCUUAAGUUGCAAAAUUUCAUGUAAUAAUCCGAUUCCGCAGCCAUCAAAAGAAGAAAGCCGCACCUCAAAAGCAUUCCUUAGAUGAUCAAGUUCCUUGUCAAGAUCAUUAAUAGCCUGAUUAUAUGCCUGCAUGGGUGAUGACUGGCUCGUAGUGUGUACCUACAAACCCCACUCAAACUGCAUUAAUCUCGAUAUAUGAGCAACUUUCCAGAGAAAAUUCCAGCCAUAAGACUACUUCUCAGCUAGGAAAAAAUGAAAGAGUGAAAGAGACACCAAAGGGUAACAAGCCCACAGUUAGAGCCCAAGUUUAUGGUACAAAUGAUGCCGCAGACAGUGCUUCACCGGCUGAUGCAACAACUACAAUCAACAGGCAAGCUUUCAUAUAAACAAUACGAGAUUAUGGCACAAAUGACGCAAUAAUAGGCGCAUUAUGAGUUGAAGCCCUAUGUCCUUGAAUUCAAGCGAUGGGCAAAUUACCCAUAGGAACAUCAUUCUCCAGCUGCAAUUUUGUGAACCAGAAAGAAUAUUUUAUAGAUCCCAAAAUGAGAGAGUUUACAAAUGCGAAAUGCCCAAAUCUACGCCAUAAAAAUCCAAUAUCCCUCAUACAAGAGUUAUCAACUCCUGAAAUUCGAACAUCGCCUGCAUAAUCCGCAAAAACCUUUCAAAACAUGUAAGAAAAGAAGGCGCGGGAAUUCGCUGAACCUGCCAUUCACGUUACAAACUCUAGAAAGAGCAUCGGCCUAGCGAAAACUUUACUAACUCGGAGAAGCAUGAGUAGGGCAAUCCAACACGAUGCACGGAGUAAUUGCAGAACCAGACGGCCCGAACGUGCACGGCACACGUGCGCAAACACGUAUCUAAUCUCCUACAGGAUUGCACAGACAGGAACCAGGGGGGAUAACAAAGGAUCGAGUCGAAAAUGUCGUACCCGGACAAUGAUCUUAUACUGCAGAGGGUGAGGGAGCUUGUAACCAGCGAAGAGCACAUUGUCAUCUCUGUGCAAUUGCCUGACUCGACAACAGCGCCAAAAGAAGAAAAAAAAAAGGGAACAUGAUCAGGGUUUCCAAUCGAACCGCACAAAGGGCAAAGAUAAAAAUGAUGAGAAAAGAAGAAGAAGAAGAAGCGAAGGAGUACAUGCGAAGGAUAUUGCCGACGGUGUGGUCUUCCCUUUCGAUGGUGAAGGAAGCGGCGUUGAUGAUCUUGGUGUCCCGCUCGUACGAAACCCUAGGCAAACGGCGGACGGUCGAUUUAGCAGGCAACCGAAAGAAUGGUGCAGAAAUCUAGCGACCCCAGCGACUGAAGGAAGAGAGAGGGAAAGAGAGAGCGAGGCAGAAGGAGGGAGAGGGAGAGGGAGAGGACUUACUUCUUGGUGCCUUCGGGAACGACGAACCUCUCGUAGCGAUCGGGGGCGUUCAUGGUUUCCUACCUGCUUGCCCAGAAACUCCACUACUAUUCCCCCCUACCUCUCUCUCUCCCUCCCUCUGUCUCGAUGAUUGUUUUUUAUCUUGCAGUAGAAGUGGAUUAGGUCAUUACAACCCCCCCUUAACAGAAAGGGAGGGGACAGAGACGGNNNNNNNNNNNNNNNNNNNNNNNNNNNNNNNNNNNNNNNNNNNNNNNNNNNNNNNNNNNNNNNNNNNNNNNNNNNNNNNNNNNNNNNNNNNNNNNNNNNNUCAAAUCGAGCUGACUAUCUGAUUUUCAUAGAGCACGGAAGAAAGUUAACAUUGGGUUGAGAUCAACCUGAGUUUCCAAUAAUGAGUUUGCAAUUGCAUGAUGUUUGAGUUGAUUGAACUCAAGCUUAAGUACAAGUCUUUGACCCCCCAAAUAAAAUAAAAAUAAAAACCUUAUUAUAAGCCGAUUGUAAUCGAAUCAAGCUCGACUAUCUCAAUUUUUGCAAUCAAGUCGAAAUUGGAGAAGGAAAGUUGAUUUUGGGUCGUAUUUGAGUCAACUUUAUUACUGAGUUUGUAAGUAGAGUCGAACUCAAACUUGGCAACUUAUAUGCUCGAUUAACAUAUGCUCACCAUUCCCCAUUUAAUGGAAUGGUUGGAUAAGAAACGAAUGGGUAGAUUUGGAACUAUAGUCAUGUCCAAAAAAAUCUAGAUCAGGCAUGCAAAUGAUUAAUGAAUUUUAACUUUUAUGCGUCAUGUUGAUCAAAUUUGAGUAGAUUAGGUGGGGCCUACUGCCUUAACAAUUACGAGAUCAUUCCGUUCAUCUCGGGGAUGUAUUUGGAAAAAUGCAAAGAUCUUUGAAUUAAUAGGGGUUUUCUAAAAUGUGAGUAAUGUUUGGUAAAAUGUAUUUCAAAAACACAUUGAAAAUCAAUUUUGACCUAAACGUCAUUAGGUAAAAACUACACUUUGUAAAUAAUUUUUGCCAAUUUUUUUAAAAAUAUAUCAAAAUAUAUGUUGGCAGAACGUAGCCAGUAGCCAGUAGCAAGCCAAAUAGGCCACCAGCCAGCCUUGCCUAAGGUCGCGAGACUUCAGGCAAAGCUUGGAUUGCAUGUCCCAAAAGAUUGUCGCCUAGGGUCUUGCGACCUCAGGAGGCGUGAUUUGAGGACAAGGGAUCUCUGGCAAGGGUGUCAAUGGCUUAGGGUUUUCAAGGACAUUUUCAUAAUUAUGAAAGUUGAGUAAGGGCAAAGUUGGGAAAAUAAGUCUAUUUGCAUUUCAAUAAUACUACUUUCCAAAAUAUCUCUGAAUCUACUUUAAAGGUUUUUAGAGGCCUCUAGAAAUGCAAUUACAUUUCUCCAAUGUUUUCUUAAAAAACCAACCAAAUGUCAUUUGCAUUAAGGAAGUAUACUGAAUCAAACAGGCCCUAUAAAGACCAAUCCAUACUAAAUUUACCAUCCAAUGUUUUUUCAAAAUUAUAUGGGUUAAUUCUAAUUUUAAAAAAUUGCAUUUGAUUGAGGCCAAACUAUGACUAAUUGAACCGUUUGGGCGAGUGUAAUAUAUAGUCUCCAGACUUUGAUUGUAAGGAUGAGAUCCUUUACAAUAUCAUUGUAUUUCUUUAGAUGCCUCGUUCAUCCAAAUAUUAAUUUGUAAAAGUAUUGGUACUUUGUAGUUAUUAAAUGGGAUUUGUGUAUUAAAAGUCUAAAAACUUAUCGCGAAAAUGCAAUUAAAAUCUAAAAUUUUCAGAAAGUGUAAUCAAAUCUCGAAAUUUGUCCAAUCGAUCAACUCAAAUCCUUAGUCGAAAUUUUUUGCACUUUCGUAACAAGGUCUAGGCUUCCAGUACAAUUAUCCCAUGCUAAAUUCAAUCUAUAGAAAUAUCGGGCUGUUAUGAAAUUUAUGACCGUCACAUUAAUUGUUGAGAUUUAUCAACAUGCAUAAUAGCCGUUACAUGGAAUAGAAGAUCCUUGUCCCUUUUUCCAUCCUCUCGUGUGAGCUUCCAAAUAUUGUUGUGAGGGCCUAAAUUGCAACCCCGGAAACAAACUCGAUGAUCCUUGAGCUUUAGGUAAUAUUCGACUGCCUUUUGAACUUGAAAUUGGGUUCGAGAGAUUCCAAACCACGGGUGCAUCUUCUUUUCCAUGCCCAUCGAACCAUUGUGAUAUUUUCAUGACAAAGAGCUGAGUUCUUGGACAAAUUGCGAGUGCAAUGUUUGGAUAGACCAAAACAUAAUUACCAAAGGAUGUGUCGAAUUUUGAUUUGUUGUCGUAUAAUAAAAAAUGUUAUACUAUGAAGCUGAGUUCAAAGAUAGGCUCGGCUCGAUGUGUUGAAUUUUGAUUUGUUGUGUUGUAAUAAAAGAAAAAAAUUUGUAGUAUGAAGUUAAGUACAAAGAUAGGCACCUCGAUGAGGGUCAAUCAUGGUUAUUGUCCAAAAAGGGCAAUGCAACUUUUCCAUGUAUGGGGUGAAUGUAUUGUGACCUUCCAUCAAUCUUAGUUCAAGACAAGAUUUAUUUCAUUCAUGAUAUUAAAUGUGGUCUUGGGCUAAAAUCUACCAUUUGAGUUUUCUGUGAUAUGAUUUCCUUACAAAAAAAUAUUUCCAUGUCGAGAAUACUGGGACGAUAUCCACUUUAAAUUUUCGCAUAGGAUGUACUGUCCAUUAAAUAGCAAAAAAGGAAACCAAAAAUUAAGCAACUACUUCAAUGUUGUUCAUAAAAGUAAACUUGAUUUAUAUUUGAUAUGGUCAAGAUUGAAAUUGGACAUUUGAUAUAACUUUGCAUUUAACGUAGGAAAAUGAAUUAGGGACCCAAUUAAUCCAAUUUAAAAUUCACAACCAUAUUUUGAACUCACCACAACUUUUGACUAGAUUUUGUUGGUCUCGAGAAACUGAAUAAAGAGCAUACCAAAAUUUUUCGAACUCACGUGAUUGCACUAAUCAAAUCUAAAUCAAUGAAAUUAGCACCAAAUUUAAAGAAUGACUGUCCUUCUAGUUUUAGCCCAUUUCUCAGAUAGCUAUCACAAAGAAAAUUUUUCUUACCAUAUUUGGAAAGAUUAGAUUCCAUGCAUUUCAUUUCCGCGGAUGAAAUGAUUGAGUUCUUCAUGCACCGAUAUUUCAAACUACUUUAUAAUUGUCCGGUGGUGUAUAUUCACACGUGUUUCUAUGGGUUAGCUAAUGACUUAGGAAGGUACGAUACCGCAUAAUCUGAAUGAUAAUUAGUCAAUAUUUACGAAAUAGAUUUUUUGGUCUUUUCGUAAAAACAUUAAGUACUAAUUUUAUUAUCAAUACAUAAAUUCAUUGAUGAAAAUAAAUGAGGGCACAUUGCAGAGUUUCCUCAACUGAAAAAAAGAAGAAGAAGAAGAAGAAAGAAGAGGGUUGAACCCGGGACCCCGCUGUUCAGCACGGAGCGAAACUGCAAAUCUCCAGUCUCGCUGCAGCGCGGUGUAGCCUGUUCCUUUUUUUAAUAUAUACGGAAAAUGGGCAAGAACCAGGCAGAAGGGGACGCGUGGCUAGAUCCUGGGGGGAGCUUCUCAUCGGGUAACUUUCGUAAUAGCGGGUAUUUAAGAGAAAAGCAAGGGGGAAUAAGAAAAAGAGAAAAUUGAAAAAUAAGGCGAAAGGGGGAUCCCAAAAAGAUUUUCGGGAGAGCCCCCGUUGCCCCCCACCCCCCCAAUCUCUCGCUAAUCGUCCCUCAAAAACUCGAAUAAUUCAAAAUCCAAUAUCUGGUCUCUCCCUCCGCUUAUGGCCUUUCAUGUAGCUUGCCCAAUUACAUGGUACGUGCUCUGCGCUGUGGCUGCGGCGUUUCCUCCCCCCUCUUAUUUGCCUCCUCCUUCUUCCCCUCCCCCCCCUGCUGCUGCUGCUGCUGCUGCUGCUUCCCCCUUCCCUCUCCCCCUCCUCCUCAUCUCCUCGGCUUCCGUUUCCGCUCUUCCGUUCGCCGCCCGUCGGUCUCACUUUUCCGUUCUGUUGUUUGUUUGUUUUGGUUUUUUUGGGGUUUCCCCGGCAGUCGCCGAAUCUGCUACUGCUCGCUAGGGUUUCCCAGCGGCCUCCGCAAGGAUGGGUUCGUCCGCGAGAUUCUGCAGCUCCAGGAGUUCCUGAACGAUCCGUGGCGGAUUAGGGCUCCGGACGCCCCCCCCGCCGCCGCCGCCGCCGCCGCUACCCUCCAGGUCGCCGUCCCCAAGGUCGUCCCCCCGCCGCCCCCGCCUCUCCCGCUGCAGACAGCUGCCGGGGCCGAUGCGCCCGCCGGGAUCGCCGCCGGUGCCGGUGGGGCCGCCGCCGCCGCCGCCACCUCCGCCGAUGGGGCCGACGACGCGCUGGCCGCCGUGUCGGCACAGGCCAAGCGUGCUGCCCUGCAGAAGAAGGCUGCUGCGGCUAUGGUCGCGGCCGAGGACUAUGCUCGGCGAUUUGAGUCCGGUGACCUCGCAGUAAGGCCUCCCCUCGGUUUACGAUAAUUGCUUGGAUUUAUUUAUAUUUCCCUUAUUAUUUUGGGAAAUUUCGUUAGAUGAUGCUGUCACAGUACGUACCUCGUUAAUUGAAUGAGGGUGAGCGGUUAAUUAAUCGUAUACAGGGUGCUCAGGGGACUGUUUAAUUUGCAACUGUCAGAAGUUCUUUUUUUUUUGUAGUUUUUACACAUGUGUAAUGUUUUGGAUAAUUCCAUGAUUGGAGGUUGUUGGGCGAUUCAAGGGUAUAAUUUCAUGUGUAUUUCUCUUAAUGUUUUGGAUAACUCCAAGAUUGGAGGUUGUUGGGCGAUUCGAAGGUAUAAUUUCGCCAUUGAAUGUAUAUCGGGGAUUUCCUCUUUUACGCACAAUUGUUCCGGUUUUGGUCUCACUUGACUAAUUAUUUCGGUUUCGUUGUGCUCACGUGUUUAAUCAGCACGGACAUUGGACAUUAGUCUAGUAUAUACAUAUCUGGCAGAGCAUCUGAUUUAUUUACAUGUGCAAAGAUGCACGUGUAUGUAUCUGGUUCGCCGCGACAACUGUAUAACUUAGUUUAGAUCUGUAGAAAUGAUGGAAUGACUGCUCAAGCACGUGACCGCUGAGUGCUUCUCCUUAUAAUAGAUUUCUAGCCUACUUCACCGUUCAUUUUGCGACUUGUGCUUUACUCUGAUUCUGUUUUCCAUAAUUCGACCUGUGUAUAGGAGUCCUCUGUAGAUGUCGUUGGAGAAGACUAUGGUCAAGGCCAAGGUCAUGCCAGCUCAAAAAUAUUAUGCCGGAUGUGCCUGUUUGGGGAAAAUGAUGGGAGUGAGAGAGCAAAGAAGAUGCUUUCCUGCAAAAGUUGUGGCAAGAAGUACCACAGGAGCUGCAUUAAAAGCUGGGCUCAGAACCGGGGUACGGAUUUUUUUAUUAAAAUCCUUAUUGGUCUGCCUAGCUUCUGUCUUUUUUAUUUGUUCUGACCUUUUUUCUUUUCUUUUCAAAUUCUUAUUAAUGUUGAAUUGCUGCAGAUCUUUUUCACUGGAGUUCAUGGACCUGUCCCUCUUGCCGAAUUUGUGAGGUAAUAUGCGAAAUCUGGUGCUAUUACUUAGUUGCGCGAGCAUCUGUUGCUGUUAUAAGGGUCUUGUUCUUCGAUUUUAUUUGAUUGACCGAUCUCAAGAUCUGGAUUCAGAUUUUUGGUUCCUUUACUUCGUUCGGUUGCAGAAUUUGAAUCUUUAUGAUCCAUUAAGUGCUGGCUCUCUCCCGUGUUUCUUCUUUCCUUAUGCAUGCACUUGCUGAGAUUGAGUGCUUGCUUUGCGGUGCUUGGUAUCUGGUGCUGGCCCCUCUGUUCCGUUUUCAUGGUUGUGUCAUGACUCAAAGGUGAAUGUGGCCCUCAUGUUUUUCUUUCUUUUCUGUUAUGCAAGAUAUGCCGAAGAGCGGGGGAUCCUAAAAAAUUCAUGUUUUGCAAGAGGUGUGAUGGUGCAUAUCACUGUUACUGCCAGCAUCCCCCACACAAGGUGAGUAUGCAUUUUUCACCCAUCUCUUACAUGGUUUGUAAAGUGCUCGUAACAAUUAUGGACAUUGCAGAAUGUUAGUUCUGGACCUUAUCUGUGCCCUAAACAUACAAGAUGCCAUAGUUGCGGAUCCAAUGUCCCUGGAAAUGGCUUGAGUGUGAGGUACCAUUACUGUCUGAAAUGACUAUGUUGCAAAAUUUUUCCAGAAGCAAUUGAUAUAGAGUUAAGCAUCUCUUUAGGUAUUACUGACUGAAACAGAUCAUUGUUAAUUUCUUAACCCUUUUAAUAUACGUAACAGGUGGUUUCUGGGAUAUACUUGCUGUGAUGCAUGUGGAAGAUUGUUUGUCAAGGGGAACUAUUGUCCUGUUUGUUUGAAGGUAAUUUUGUAUUUUGGGGCUUGGCAGAAAGAGAGAGGAUUCAAUGUGUAUCAAAACAUGGUGGAUUCUUAUUGUUGUUGAAAUUUUCAGGUUUAUAGAGAUUCUGAGUCAACGCCAAUGGUCUGUUGUGAUAAUUGCCAGCGUUGGGUUCACACUCAUUGCGAUGGCAUCAGGUUACUAACUGGAACUGUGAACUUUUGGCUUAGCUUCUGUUAAAAUUGUCCUAUCGUGUGGAAGGUCAUGUAUAUCUCAGAUAUCUUUGGUUAUUGAUGUGUCUGUUCUCUUUUUAUAUGAUUUCUCGAUGCUAUCUGUCCUGUUUCAAAGAAUCUUUGCCAUUGCACGUGCAAUUGAUGAUGUCACAGCUUAUUAAGUGACGUUGAUGGAUUCUUAAGGAUUGCUUUAAUUACUUCUUUAAGGAAGUUGUUCUGUCGAAGUUCAGUCAAAAUGGUCUUUUCAGUGUUAGGUGAUGAUUUUGUGUAGGACAAUUUUUAAUUUUUUUCCCCUUUUUGUUGCCAUGGACGUUUACUGGUGAUGUAUAUGUUCCCACAGCGAGGAUAAGUAUCUACAAUUUCAAGUGGAUGGAAAUCUCCAGUACGUUUGUCCCACAUGCCGUGGAGAGUGCUACCAGGUAUGUCUAAAAUAGAUGUUGGUGGUCUUUUUCCAUGGUUUUCUUCUCUUUUCUCAUUUGCACUUGUUUGGUUUGCAAUUGAUCUUUUUUCCCACGUGAAUGUGUGGGAUAGGUCAAGGAUCUUGAGGAUGCUGUUCAAGAGCUUUGGAGGAGGAAAGACUUUGCCGAUAGAGAUCUUAUUGCUAGUUUGCGGGCUGCUGCUGGAUUGCCUACUCAGGAAGAAAUCUUCUCUAUUUCACCUUACUCGGAUGAUGAAGAAGGUGGCUCCACUGUUUACAAAGGCGAAUAUGGUCGGUCCUUGAAGUUUUCUCUUAAAGGUUUGAAUGAGAAAUCACCAAAAAAACCAAAGGAACAUGGAAAGAAACCCAGCAAGAAGAAUAUUAAGAAAAAGCCGCAUCUAGAAUCUUCUGCUGGGACCGUGCAACCACAUCAAGAUUCUGAAUCACAUCAUGAUGUUCAAUCUCUUGCCCGUAACUCUAACAAGGACAAGAAUGACGGAAUACAUUCUGAACCCAGUGGAUUGGUCAAUGUAUUUACUCCUCCCAAUGCUAGAAGCUCGAGCCAUGCUGAGGGAAUAUGCUCCAUCAAUGAGCCAGGGGUAAUAAAACACAAGUUCAUUGAAGAAGUUACUGCUGGCACUGAAGAGAAGAAACCACGAGUCCUUCAUAUUAAGAGCAGCAAGCCUCAGGAUUUAGCUGGUGGAGUUGAUUCUGGACAGCAUGCUAGCAAGUCGAAGCACGUAAAUGAAAAAAAGUUGGUCAUACAUUUGGGUGCUCGAAAUCGAAAUGCUACUAAUUCGCCCCGAUCUGAUGCUUCUAGCUGCCAAAGAGAACAAGAUAUUUUGACUUCCAAUGGUAUGCACUGUAAUUAUAAUCUAGAUUCAUUUUUGGAAGUCUAGUGAAACAGAUUAUGCUUUCCUCAAAUUUUUUCAUGCAAGGAGGAUUAGGAAGGGCAUGCAUGUGCUGAUUGCUCAUAUAAGUUUACCAUUUCAUGGGUUGUUGAAAGACAAACUUGUUACAUUCUUGUAUUUUUCGUAGCAUGCUUAGCUUAUUUGGCGCUGUCUUCUUAUGAUCAGGCACUGAAUAUACAAGCCAUCAGAGACUUACCGAUAAAUCUUUGGCGGAUAGGAAUGAUAGCCCUGGUAUGUUGAGUGUUUGUGAGAUGCUUGUUUGAUCACUUUAUCUACUCCUUUCAGGUUCACGGUAUAUUGAAACUUUUGUAGAAGUAGAAAUGAAUUGUAAUUUUUUCUCUUUUGCAGGAGAAAUGUCUGACUUCUCUGGCCAAUCAAAGGUUGUCAAGCCUGGGGGUAAAGAAGGCAGUCUUAUCAAGUUUGGGAAAAUGAGAUCCGAAGUUCAUGACGUAAAUCCAAAAUUGGGUAGUAGUGCUGAUAGAGUCGGAAUUAAGCCUCCAGAGCACACUCGUCUUGUAUUCAGAAGAAGAAAUACAGAAGGAAGUGUUCCUGCAUCUGAAUCUACAGGUAAAACGCAAAUGUCUAGACAUGAGAAAAUAUCUUUGGAAAAGCAAAGGGAUGGCAGGCCUGAUGUGAAAAUCGAAGGCAACAGCGACCAUGUUCAUACACCCGUGUCACAAUCUUUGCCAAAAGAUUCUAAGCCAUUGCUGAAGCUUAAGUUUAAGAAUAUUAAUCGUGAAAAUCCACCCUCCCAACUAUCCCUCUGGGAUGAAGAGAAGAGUUCUAUCAAGGGCCAAAGGUCAAAAAGAAAGAGACCAUCACCGUUUAUGGCCAAAGCAUCUAAUGAUGGAGAUGAAGAUGUUAAUCGGCAGCAUCAAGACAACUUACUGGAUGAGAUUAUGGAUGCUAAUUGGAUAUUGAAAAAAUUGGGCAAAGAUGCAAUUGGAAAGAGAGUUGAGGUCCAUCAGCCAUCUGACAAUUCUUGGUACAAGCUUUAUCUCUUUAUUAUCUGUUUUCUGUUGCUUAAAUGAAGUAAGUGGUGAGCUGAGGAUUAUAUUUUUUCAAUUGAACUGAUCCUGCAAUAUCUCACUAUUAAUCAUGUGAUUAUUACCAUUUUCAUAGGAAUUAAACAUGUGUAUAUUUUUUUGCUCAUGUGUCAUAUCUCUUUAGAAAUUGAUCAACUGUUGAAAGUAUUUGGGUAGGUUCAUGUUUUUGGGGUAUUCUAUUAAUGCUUGUCAAGAGAAUAUCUGUACUUCUUGAGGGAAGGGCAAAAGUAUGAAAUAUAAUAAUCAGCACUGAAAAGAAAUGGAGGACGUUGAAAGUCCGGCAUUGCAUUCAUUGAUUUAUAUGUCCUUGCGCUGCAUGCUCCAAAUUUUUUUGAAUUGGAUCAUCCUCUUUGGUGUCAAUUUUUGUUCUCUCUCAACUUUUUGUAGGCAUAAGGGGGUGGUCACCAAUAUUAUUGAAGGGACAUCAACAUUGGCUGUUGAUCUGGAUGAUGGAAGAGUUAAGACUGUGGAACUUGAGAAGCAAGGCGUGCGUUUUGUUUCUCAAAAGCGAAAGAGGUCAAAGACGUGAUUUGAAUUGUGGAAGAGGUCAGAGAAUGAAUUCUUUGUGAUGGUGUGAACAUCUCAUCUUGCAAUUUGGCGAGAUACAGCGCCAAAGAUGUUCUUUGUUGUGUAGAGCACCAAGAUGAAGUGUGGUCCGGUUAGUAGAGAAAGGCCAUCCUGAGCUCAAGGAUUUGAUUUAUCUGCGGAGCAUUGUUUGCUUGUAGUCUGGUUCUUUCCUCAGGAGCUAAUAGCCUUCUGGAAAGGUCUUUCCAUUUUUUUUCUUAUUCCCAUUUGACAAUUUUAGAUUAGCUUUCAGCUUCUUCUAGGUUUUGAUUUGAAUUUUGUAGUUAGGUAUCUGUCCUCUGUAACCAAGUAGGCGCUUAGGCAAGGAAAGUCUUGGUAAUUUUUCCUCCUUCUUUCUUUCUUUCUUUCUUUCUUUUUUUUUGGUAUUAGAGUACAACGUGUUGUUAGCAUUCUCUAUGGCAGAUUGAGGAGGCUUGAUUUGUUAGUUUCGAAAGUAGAUAAGUGUCGGGGCAGGAGUCACUAUCGUGCCGGUUAGCAUGUAAUUUCCCAUUCUUUGAACUCUCGUGCCUUCAGAUUACUGUAAUGAUCGACCCUUUGGAUGUAGACUUUAUCCCUUCUCUCUACCGGUACCAUGAUCGAUGAUGAAUUUGCCGUCUAUAGAACUCGUCAUUUCACUUGAUUGUUUUCACAUAGGAAAAGAUGGUGUUAUGUUCUGUUGUCUGUUCGCAUCAUUGAUGCGUUGUGGAAUUCGAGAUCUCUUUCAUGGGGCAUCAAACUCUUAGAAAUAGCGAAAUUGGAUUUCGUUAAAGAGCGUCUUUUAAUCCCACUUGUUAAGGAGGCAAUUAAGAAAGUUUUGCAGUUUUCAAUACAUUGAUUUUCUUGUAUAUUUGAAACUCAAAACCUUCUUAUUAAGUAUAAUUAACCUCUGCGUCUUAAAGAGCAUUGAUAUUUGAAUUGUUCGGUAAAUUUUUUCUAUCAAAUUUGCUUUUUCAGCCAAAAAAAAAAAAAAGAUACUCUUUUUGUUGAGCAGAAAAAGAGACAAAAAUAGAUUGUAAUUAAAACCACCCACCGUUGCAGCGUAGAGGGUAGAGCUUGUGUUCUCCACCGAGGAGAACCAAGUUCGAAGCCCCUGCGAAGCAAGGAGGCUGAAGCGCUGUGUGGUGCCUUGCCCGAGGUGCGUGGGUGGUGGUUUCCUGCGUGCCUCCCCAAGGUUUACUCUCUGGCUGCCGGCCGUGCGGGGUUCCUUGGGUCACCCAAAAAAAAAAAAAAAUGAUUGUAAUUAAAGAAGAGAGUUUUGUUUUGU